ACUAUGGAUACGAUAGACUCGGGAGGGGUAAAGGGUUACUUUAUUUGGGCUACUAAGUCUUUCUUGUUGAUUCCGGAAAUAAAGAGGACCUUCUUAAUCCUUCGUGCUCCACACCCGCCUCACUGGACCUAUCCAUUCGAGCUCUCUCCUCUAAUCCCAACUCGACACGGCUGGACGACGAUGCCUGUUCACUUAUAACGAAAUCACACAUUAAGCCCGAUGAAUUCAUCUACAAUUUCUGGAUUUGUCGGUUUGGCAAGGCAAAACCAGGGCCCUUCCAUUAAGGUUAUAUUAUAGUUUCGAUAGGAGAGAUGCAGACCAGAUAGGAAUGCAAGAAUACUCUGUAAAUUGUUUAUUAAUUGGUUUAGUUUGUGGAAGAGAAGUAUCGAUCUAGAGGAUUGCCCCCCCCCCAGACUGACCUAGUUGUCCUUGACUUGCUUCGGAAAGAAAAGACCUAGUACUUGUUUACCUUGACCAUGGCUACUUUCCUGCCGCCUUUCCUUCUAUACUUUUCCUAUGUGCUAUCCCAGGCAUCCCUUGUCAAGCUACCUAUCCCUACGAAAAAGCAAGCCUACUUACUACGUGUUUUCCUCUAUUGGCAAAUACGCAUAUACUGACCUACUCACAUGCAUAUCUUGCAUAAAGCCUUCCCCUAAAAAAACUAGCCCGUAUCUUCCUAGUCCUUGUUGCCAGCCCUACUCGACUUUACUCGACUAUUUAGAAAAAGCUACUACUUGAAUGCAUACUUUUACUAUUAUUUAAAGAAAAAACAAAAACUAUUUAUGAGUUUAUGCCCCACCAACAGAGCAAAAGAACGCUCAAAUGAGGAACUAGAAUAUGAAAGUGCAAAAUCUCCUACCGAACAAAGAAAGCACUAUAUCUCAUUUUAAAAAUCUGGUAAAAAUUCUUCAACCUAACUCAACACAACUAUAUUUCGACUGUAUAUGUAUGUUUGUAACGUGCCACAAAACCAUCUUAAGAUUAGACAGUUAUCAAUUAGCAAACGCAUUGACCACAUGCAAAAAAUCAAGACGGGUCUCCUUCCUUUUAUUCGGUGCUUUCCUUUUAUAAGUCACUGCUAUUCUUCCUUGACCCUUCUUACCUUUGCUAGAUUUUGCAUUCCCCUCAUUACUAUUCGGCUCAGUAUUAUCUUCACCUUUGGAAUUGCUUCCACCAGAAGUAGAAGACAAGUACCGUAGAUGUCAUAAUUUUGUAUAUAGCAAAUUCAGGUAGUAAGUAAUGGAACUGUAGCAUGCAAAGGGACUGUACCAUGGAAAUUGAGAAGAAAUCUCCAUCAAGUUUUUCCAUUUUAUGCCAUAUGAAUAAGAGAUUCCUUUUAGUUAGAAAGCUCGCGUAGAAAUUUGAUAUCAAAGAACUUGGUAUUCUUUUCAUCCGCGGUUUCCCACUUCUCUGUCUCUGGGUGAAUGCCUCUACCAGAGGUUAUGCGCCAGCUUGGGAAAGCCUUAAGUUAUAUCUUAAUCUGUCUUGCAAGGUAGAUUGGAUCAUGUCUGCGAUAGAAGUUGCGGAGGAAUGAAACGACGAUUUCGGUAUAGGAAGAGAAAGGGAUUGUGCUUUCGACCGUGGCGAGAUAGGAUAGACUUGGGAUUCUUUCUUGGCCCUUGAUUGCCAACACUCUGGGGCUGAAUUAAUUAAUGAAACUAAUAGGAAGGAUUGGGAUGAUGAACUGGAUCAAUUCUUUCUUUCGCUGACUGACCAAGGUAAUUAAUUCCUUCCAUUGGCCAGGCGGGUAAGCAAGGAGACGACGUUCUCAUUAAAAAAAUGAAAUAUGCCAUGCCGAAUUCAAAAACAACUCCUUAAAUUCCGUCGUUUACCGACAUCCUCUCGGCUAUCAUACGUCCUCCGGUUAUCUCUCUUAGGCAUAGGCAUCUCAACACAUUCCUCCUUCCGAGUUGCUUGUCUGAACUUGGCUCUUUAGUAAAACGAAGGAGCUGCUAAGCUAUUAUUAGGUAUCAAUUUAGGAGCCUUUUGUCAUUUCCAACUACAUUAUUGUGAGCAUUCGGAACCUGUUCCUACGCGGUCAUCAAAUUGGCUGGCUUUGGACCCUCGAUCGCAGCAAUGAACUCAGCGUCCCACUUAACUUACUUUUCGUACUUUUGAAUCUUGUCCCAUCCCAUAGCUUCACAAGUGAAUCUACCUAUGGAUCCAUAAAGUUGAUCAUUACUUCUCAAAUUCUUAUUUCAUGUGUCUGCCAUAGCGCUUAUCUAUCUCUUGGUCUGAUUCAUCUUUGGAAUGUAACCGGACAUAUUACAAGGCGAAAAAACAGUGAUUUCAUCGAUUCCGGAUUGCCCAGUGUCUCCCUUUCCCUCUUUCCUUUCACUUUCCUCGCAUAAUGAAAGCAUGAUUUACCCGAGCCGAAUAUCUUGUUAGAGUAGUAGAUUCCGCGCUCGAGAUGAUGUGUGUGACCGGGCAGGAGAUUCUUUUACUCCAAAGCCGUUGCGCAGGUUUGUGUGUGACAACUAUGUCGAUCAGUUUUUAAAGACGCCCAUAAACUAUGUCUACAGAUUCCGACAGAGAGUACAAGUGGUACCAUCGGAGGAAGCUGACAACCUCAGAACAAGAAUGGAAAAAGGAUUGAUUGCUCGACGAAGUAGUACCAACAGGAUAUAUUAAUCACUAGGUUACGGUAAUAUGUGCUUGUCUCCGAAAAGAAGGAUAAAAGGAUAGAUUAGCAAAGUAGUCACUCCCAAUGGCAGAUGAAAACGAUACCGACACAUCUACUAAAUCAUCUUAACAACCUUGAAGAUACGGGAUUAUAUAAUAAACUCAUUUAGUUGAUAGAUCAUUAUUGGAUUCUUUUUAUUGUGACCAAGAUCCAUGAAAUAGCUCUCUUUAUACUACGUUAUAACUAGUGGAUACUUCCCAUUCUUAUGUCUUCUUUCCUUAUUACGACUCCUGUGCUUAGAUAAAAUACGACGUUUGAGUUUGGACAUAGCCAAUUGCUACUUACGGUGCUAGGCCUUUUCAAGCAAUGGAAGGCAGACUUGAAUGCCAAUCAGACAUGGCCAGAAGCUUAGAUAAUAUCACUAGUUUCUCUUGUUUAUCACUUAAUAAAUAGUCUUAUUUGUCCCAAGGAGCGAGGAGAGAAGAUGACAGGUUGAGUAGAGAAAGGUGGGUCAUUGUCCCAACGUAGUAGUAUUUUUGUUUUGUUUUCAGCUGAUCUAUAUCAAAAUAAUAGAAUAAAUAAAGGCAAAGGAUUUGGUGAAUGUUAAGCCGGAUUUUCAACUCACACAUGAAGCUGAUGUUGGGGAACGUAGUAAUUUCAAAAAAAUUCCUACGCACACGCAAGAUCAUGGUGAUGCAUAGCAACGAGAGGGGAGAGUGUUGUCCACGUACCCUCGUAGACCGACAGCGGAAGCGUUAUCACAACGCGGUUGAUGUAGUCGUACGUCUUCGCGAUCCGACCGAUCAAGUACCGAACGCACGGCACCUCCGAGUUCUACACACGUUCAGCUCGAUGACGUCCCUCGAACUCUGAUCCAGCCGAGUGUUGAGGGAGAGUUUCGUCAGCACGACGGCGUGGUGACGGUGAUGAUGUUCUACCGACGCAGGGCUUCGCCUAAGCUCCGCAAUGAUAUUAUCGAGGUGUAAUUUGGUGGAGGGGGGCACCGCACACGGCUAAAAGAUCUCAAGGAUCAAUUAUUUUGUCUCUGGGGUGCCCCCCUGCCCCCGUAUAUAAAGGAGCAAGGGAGGAGGAGGCCGGCCCUAGGAGGGGGCGCACCAAGUGUGGAGUCCUACUAGGACUCCCUAGUCCUAGUAGGAUUCCACCUCCCAUAUGGAAUAGGAAAAGAGGAAGGGAAAAAGAGAAAGGAAGGAAGGGGGAGCCCCCCUUCCCUAGUCCAAUUCGGACCAGACCAAGGGGAGGGGUGCGGCCACCCUUGAGGCCCUUUUUCUUCUUUCCCGUAUGGCCCAAUAAGGCCCAAUACGUAUUCCCGUAACUCUCCGGUACUCCGAAAAAUACCCGAAUCACUCGGAACCUUUCCGAAGUCCGAAUAUAGUCGUCCAAUAUAUCGAUCUUUACGUCUCUACCAUUUCGAGACUCCUCGUCAUGUCCCCGAUCUCAUCCGGGACUCCGAACUCCUUCGGUACAUCAACAUACAUAAACUCAUAAUAAAACUGUCAUCGUAACUUUAAGCGUGCGGACCCUACGGGUUCGAGAACUAUGUAGACAUGACCGAGACACGUCUCCGGUCAAUAACCAAUAGCGGGACCUGGAUGCCAAUAUUGGCUCCCACAUAUUCUACGAAGAUCUUUAUCGGUCAGACCGCAUAACAACAUACGUUGUUCCCUUUGUCAUCAGUAUGUUACUUGCCCGAGAUUCGAUCGUCGGUAUCUCGAUACCUAGUUCAAUCUCGUUACCGGCAAGUCUCUUUACUCGUUCCGUAACACAUCAUCCCGCAACUAACUUAUUAGUCACAAUGCUUGCAAGGCUUAUAGUGAUGUGCAUUACCGAGUGGGCCCAGAGAUACCUCUCCGACAAUCGGAGUGACAAAUCCUAAUCUCGAAAUACGCCAACCCAACAAGUACCUUUGGAGACACCUGUAGAGCACCUUUAUAAUCACCCAUUUACGUUGUGACGUUUGGUAGCACACAAAGUGUUCCUCCGGUAAACGGGAGUUGCAUAAUCUCAUAGUCAGAGGAACAUGUAUAAGUCAUGAAGAAAGCAAUAGCAACAUACUAAACGAUCGGGUGCUAAGCUAACGGAAUGGGUCAAGUCAAUCACGUCAUUCUCCUAAUGAGGUGAUCUCGUUAAUCAAAUGACAACUUAUGUCUAUGGCUAGGAAACAUAACCAUCUUUGAUUAACGAGCUAGUCAAGUAGAGGCAUACUAGUGACACUCUGUUUGUCUAUGUAUUCACACAUGUAUUAUGUUUGCGGUUAAUACAAUUCUAGCAUGAAUAAUAAACAUUUAUCAUGAUAUAAGGAAAUAAAUAAUAACUUUAUUAUUGCCUCUAGGGCAUAUUUCCUUCAGUCUCCCACUUGCACUAGAGUCGAUAAUCUAGUUCGCAUCGCCAUGUGAUUUAACAUGAAUAGUUCAUAUCACCAUGUGAUUAACACCCAUGGUUCACAUCGUCAUGUGACCAUCACCCAAAGGGUUUACUAGAGUCAGUAAUCUAGUUCACAUCGCUAUGUGAGUAACACCCAAAGAGUACUAAGGUGUGAUCAUGUUUUGCUUGUGAGAUAAUUUUAGUCAACGGGUCUGUCACAUUCAGAUCCGUAAGUAUUUUGCAAAUUUCUAUGUCUACAAUGCUCUGCAUGGAGCUACUCUAGCUAAUUGCUCCCACUUUCAAUAUGUAUCUAGACCGAGACUUAGAGUCAUCUAGAUUAGUGUCAAAACUUGCAUCGACGUAACCUUUUACGACGAGCCUUUUGUCACUUCCAUAAUCGAGAAACAUAUCCUUCUUCCAGUAAGGAUAAUUUUGACCGCUGUCCAGUGAUCUACUCCUAGAUCACUAUUGUACUCCCUUGCCAAAAUCAGUGUAGGGUAUACAAUAGAUCUGGUACACAGCAUGGCAUACUUUAUAGAACCUAUGGCCAAGGCAUAGGGAAUGACUUUCAUUCUCUUUCUAUCUUUUGCCGUGGUCGGGCUUUGAGUCUUUACUCAAUUUCACACCUUGUAACACAGGCAAGAACUCUUUUCUUUGACUGUUCUAUUUUGAACUACUUCAAAAUCUUGUUAAGGUAUGUACUCAUUGAAAAACUUAUCAAGCGUCUUCAUCUAUCUCUAUAGAUCUUGAUGCUCAAUAUGUAAGCAGCUUCACCGAGGUCUAUCUUUGAAAAACUCCUUUCAAACACUCCUUUAUGCUUUGUAGAAUAAUUCUACAUUAUUUCCGAUCAACAAUAUGUCAUUCACAUAUACUUAUCAGAAAUGCUGUAGUGCUCCCACUCACUUUCUUGUAAAUACAGGCUUCACCGCAAGUCUGUAUACAACUAUAUGCUUUGAUCAACUUAUCAAAGUGUAUAUUCCAACUCCGAGAUGCUUGCACCAGUCCAUUGAUGGAUCGCUGGAGCUUGCAUAUUUUGUUAGCACCUUUAGGAUUGACAAAACCUUCUGGUUGUAUCAUAUACAACUCUUCUUUAAUAAAUCCAUCAAGGAAUGCAGUUUUGUUUAUCCCUUUGCCAGAUUUCAUAAAAUGCGGCAAUUGUUAACAUGAUUCGGACAGACUUAAGCAUAGAUACGAGUGAGAAACUCUCAUCGUAGUCAACAUCUUGAACUUGUCGAAAACCUUUUUGCGACAAUUCUAGCUUUGUAGAUAGUGAUACUACUAUCAGCGUCCGUCUUCCUCUUGACAAUCCAUUUAUUCUCAAUUGCUUGCCGAUCAUCGGGCAAGUCAACCAAAGUCCACACUUUGUUCUCAUACAUGGAUCUCAUCUCAGAUUUCAUGGCCUCAAGCCAUUUUGCGGAAUCUGGGCUCACCAUCGCUUCUUCAUAGUUCGUAGGUUCGUCAUGGUCUAGUAACAUAACCUCCAGAACAGGAUUACCGUACCACUCUGGUGCGGAUCUUGAUCUAGUUGACCUACGAAGUUCAGUAAUAACUUGAUCUGAAGUUUCAUGAUCAUUAUCAUUAACUUCCUCACUACUUGGUGUAGGUGUCGCAGAAACAGAUUUAUGUGAUGAACUACUUUCCAAUAAGAGAGCAGGUACAGUUACCUCAUCAAGUUCUACUUUCCUCCCACUCACUUCUUUCGAGAGAAACUCCUUCUCUAGAAAGGAUCCAUUCUUAGCAACGAAUGUCUUGCCUUCGGAUCUGUGAUAGAAGGUGCACCCAACUGUCUCCUUUGGGUAUCCUAUGAAGACACAUUUCUCCGAUUUGGGUUUGAGCUUAUCAGGACGAAACAUUUUCACAUAAGCAUCGCAACCCCAAACUUUUAAGAAACGACAACUUUGGUUUCUUGCUAAACCUCAGUUCAUAAGGCGUCGUCUCAACGGAUUUUGAUGGUGCCCUAUUUAACGUGAAUGUAGCUGUCUUUAAUGCAUAACCCCAAAACGAUAGUGGUAGAUCGGUAAGAUACAUCAUAUAUCGCACCAUAUCUAAUAAAGUACGAUUACGACGUUCGGACACACCAUUACACCAUGGUGUUCGAGGUGGCAUGAGUAGUGAAACUAUUUCACAUUGUUUUAACUGAAGGCCAAACUCGUAACUCAAAUACUCUUCUCUACGAUCAGAUCAUAGAAACUUUAUUUUCUUGUCACGAUGAUUUUCCACUUCACUCUGAAAUUCUUUGAACUUUUCAAAUGUUUCAGACUUAUGUUUCAUCAAGCAGAUAUACCCAUAUCUGCUCAAAUCAUCUGUGAAGGUCAGAAAAUAAUGAUACCUGCUACGAGCCUUAAUAUUCAUCGGACCACAUACAUCUGUAUGUAUGAUUUCCAACAAAUCUGUUGCUCUCUCCAUAGUUCCGGAGAACGGCGUUUUAGUCAUCUUGCCCAUGAGGCACGGUUCGCAAGCAUCAAGUGAUUCAUAAUCAAGUGAUUCCAAAAUCCCAUCAGUAUGGAGUUUCUUCAUGCGCUUUACACCAAUAUGACCUAAACGGCAGUGCCACAAANNNNNNNNNNCUUUGCAUCUUUUGGCUUCAUUAUUAUGAAUAUGUGUAUCACUACGAUCGAGAUCCAACAAACCAUUUUCGUUGGUGUGUAUGACCAUAAAAGGUUUUUAUUCAUGUAAACAGAACAACAAUUGUUCUCUAACUUAAAUGAAUAACCGUAUUGCAAUAAACAUGAUCAAAUCAUAUUCAUGCUCAACGCAAACACCAAAUAACACUUAUUUAGUUUCAACACUAAUCCCGAAAGUAUAGGGAGUGUGCGAUGAUGAUCAUAUCAAUCUUGGAACUACUUCCAACACACAUCGUCACCUCGCCUUUUACUAGUCUCUGUUUAUUCUGCAACUCCCGUUUUUGAGUUACUACUCUUUAGCAACUGAACCAGUAUCAAAUACUGAGGGGUUGCUAUAAACAUUAGUAAGUACACAUCAAUAACAUGUAUAUCCAAUAUACCUUUGUUCACUUUGCCAUCCUUCUUAUCCACCAAAUACUUGGGGCAAUUCCGCCUCCAGUGACCAGUCCCUUUGCAGUAGAAGCACUUAGUCUCAGGCUUAGGUACAGACUUGGGCUUCUUUACUUGAGUAGCAACUUGCUUGCCAUUCUUUUUGAAGUUCCCCUUCUUCCCUUUGCCCUUUUCUUGAAACUAGUUGUCUUGUUAACCAUCAACACUUGAUGUUUUUCUUGAUUUCUACCUUCGUCGAUUUCAGCAUCACGAAGAGCUCGGGAAUUACUUUCGCCAUCCCUUGCAUAUUAUAGUUCAUCACGAAGUUCUACUAACUUGGUGAUGGUGACUAGAGAAUUCUGUCAAUCACUAUUUUAUCUGGAAGAUUAACUCCCACUUGAUUCAAGCGAUUGUAGUACCCAGACAAUCUGAGCACAUGCUCACUAGUUGAGCGAUUCUCCUCCAUCUUUUAGCCAUAGAACUUGUUGGAGACUUCAUAUCUCUCAACUCGGGUAUUUGCUUGAAAUAUUAACUUCAACUCCUGGAACAUCUUAUAUGGUCCAUGACGUUCAAACGUCUUUGAAGUCCCGAUUCUAAGCCGUUAAGCAUGGUGCACUAAACUAUCAAGUAGUCAUCAUAUUGAGCUAGCCAAACGUUCAUAACGUCUGCAUCUGCUCCUGCAAUAGGUCUGUCACCUAGCGGUGCAUCAAGGACAUAAUUUUUCUGUGCAGCAAUGAGGAUAAUCCUCAGAUCACGGAUCCAAUCCGCAUCUUUGCUACUAACAUUUUUCAACAUAAUUUUUCUCUAGGAACAUAUCAAAAAUAAACACAGGGAAGCAACAACGCGAGCUAUUGAUCUACAACAUAAUUUGCAAAAUACUAUCAGGACUAAGUUCAUGAUAAAUUUAAGUUCAAUUAAUCAUAUUACCUAAGAACUCCCACUUAGAUAGACAUCCCUCUAAUCAUCUAAGUGAUUACGUGAUCCAAAGCAACUAAACCAUGUCCGAUUAACACGUGAGAUGGAGUAGUUUCAAUGGUGAACAUCACUAUGUUGAUCAUAUCUACUAUAUGAUUCACGCUCGACCUUUCGGUCUCUGUGUUCCGAGGCCAUAUCUGUAUAUGCUAGGCUCGUCAAGUUUAACCUGAGUAUUCCGCGUGUGCAACUGUUUUGCACCCGUUGUAUUUGAACGUAGAGCCUAUCACACCCGAUUAACACGUGGUGUCUUAGCACGAAGAACUUUUGCAACGAUGCAUACUCAGGGAGAACACUUUUAUCUUGAAAUUUUAGUGAGAGAUCAUCUUAUAAUGCUACCGUCAAUCAAAGCAAGAUAAGAUGCAUAAAGGAUUAACAUCACAUGCAAUCAAUAUAAGUGAUAUGAUAUGGCCAUCAUCAUCUUGUGCUUGUGAUCUCCAUCUCCGAAGCACCGUGCUCGUGAUCUCCAUCUCCGAAGCACCGUCAUGAUCACCAUCGUCACCGGCGCGACACCUUGAUCUCCAUCGUAGCAUCGUUGUCGUCUCACCAACUUAUUGCUUUUACGACUAUCGCUACCGUUUAGUGAUAAAGUAAAACUAUUACAUGGCGAUUGCAUCUCAUACAAUAAAGCGACAACCAUAUGGCUCCUGCCAGUUGCCGAUAACUCGGUUACAAAACAUGAUCAUCUCAUACAACACAUUAUAUCACAUCAUGUCUUGACCAUAUCACAUCACAACAUGCCCUGCAAAAACAAGUUAGACGUCCUCUACUUUGUUGUUGCAAGUUUUACGUGGCUGCUACGGGCUUAGCAAGAACCGUUCUUACCUACGCAUCAAAACCACAGCGAUAGUUUGUCAAGUUGGUGCUGUUUUAACCUUCGCAAGGACCAGGCGUGGCCACACUCGGUUCAACUAAAGUGAGAGACAGACACCCGCCAGUCACCUUUAAGCAACGAGUGCUCCAAACGGUGAAACCAGUCUCGCGUAAGCGUACGCGUAAUGUCGGUCCGGGCCGCUUCAUCUCACAAUACCGCUGAACCAAAGUAUGACAUGCUGGUAAGCAGUAUGACUUAUAUCGCCCACAACUCACUUGUGUUCUACUCGUGCAUAUCAUCAACGCAUAAAACUAGGCUCGGAUGCCACUGUUGGGGAACGUAGUAAUUUCAAAAAAAUUCCUACGCACACGCAAGAUCAUGGUGAUGCAUAGCAACGAGAGGGGAGAGUGUUGUCCACGUACCCUCGUAGACCGACAGCGGAAGCGUUAUCACAACGCGGUUGAUGUAGUCGUACGUCUUCGCGAUCCGACCGAUCAAGUACCGAACGCACGGCACCUCCGAGUUCUACACACGUUCAGCUCGAUGACGUCCCUCGAACUCCGAUCCAGCCGAGUGUUGAGGGAGAGUUUCGUCAGCACGACGGCGUGGUGACGGUGAUGAUGUUCUACCGACGCAGGGCUUCGCCUAAGCUCCGCAAUGAUAUUAUCGAGGUGUAAUUUGGUGGAGGGGGGCACCGCACACGGCUAAAAGAUCUCAAGGAUCAAUUGUUUUGUCUCUGGGGUGCCCCCCUGCCCUCGUAUAUAAAGGAGCAAGGGAGGAGGAGGCCGGCCCUAGGAGGGGGCGCACCAAGUGUGGAGUCCUACUAGGACUCCCUAGUCCUAGUAGGAUUCCACCUCCCAUAUGGAAUAGGAAAAGAGGAAGGGAAAAAGAGAAAGGAAGGAAGGGGGAGCCCCCCUUCCCUAGUCCAAUUCGGACCAGACCAAGGGGAGGGGUGCGGCCACCCUUGAGGCCCUUUUUCUUCUUUCCCGUAUGGCCCAAUAAGGCCCAAUACGUAUUCCCGUAACUCUCCGGUACUCCGAAAAAUACCCGAAUCACUCGGAACCUUUCCGAAGUCCGAAUAUAGUCGUCCAAUAUAUCGAUCUUUACGUCUCUACCAUUUCGAGACUCCUCGUCAUGUCUCCGAUCUCAUCCGGAACUCCGAACUCCUUCGGUACAUCAACAUACAUAAACUCAUAAUAAAACUGUCAUCGUAACUUUAAGCGUGCGGACCCUACGGGUUCGAGAACUAUGUAGACAUGACCGAGACACGUCUCCGGUCAAUAACCAAUAGCGGGACCUGGAUGCCCAUAUUGGCUCCCACAUAUUCUACGAAGAUCUUUAUCGGUCAGACCGCAUAACAACAUACAUUGUUCCCUUUGUCAUCAGUAUGUUACUUGCCCGAGAUUCGAUCGUCGGUAUCUCGAUACCUAGUUCAAUCUCGUUACCGGCAAGUCUCUUUACUCGUUCCGUAACACAUCAUCCCGCAACUAACUUAUUAGUCACAAUGCUUGCAAGGCUUAUAGUGAUGUGCAUUACCGAGUGGGCCCAGAGAUACCUCUCCGACAAUCGGAGUGACAAAUCCUAAUCUCGAAAUACGCCAACCCAACAAGUACCUUUGGAGACACCUGUAGAGCACCUUUAUAAUCACCCAUUUACGUUGUGACGUUUGGUAGCACACAAAGUGUUCCUCCGGUAAACGGGAGUUGCAUAAUCUCAUAGUCAGAGGAACAUGUAUAAGUCAUGAAGAAAGCAAUAGCAACAUACUAAACGAUCGGGUGCUAAGCUAAGGGAAUGGGUCAAGUCAAUCACGUCAUUCUCCUAAUGAGGUGAUCUCGUUAAUCAAAUGACAACUUAUGUCUAUGGCUAGGAAACAUAACCAUCUUUGAUUAACGAGCUAGUCAAGUAGAGGCAUACUAGUGACACUCUGUUUGUCUAUGUAUUCACACAUGUAUUAUGUUUGCGGUUAAUACAAUUCUAGCAUGAAUAAUAAACAUUUAUCAUGAUAUAAGGAAAUAAAUAAUAACUUUAUUAUUGCCUCUAGGGCAUAUUUCCUUCAGCUGAUACAUUUGUUAGACUAUCCAAAAUCCUUAAUCCGUAACCUCCUGAAUUUGUAAGUGCAUUCCUGUAUUUAACCGAUUUCUUCCAUCUUUUCAAGUCUUGUGGACAACAACAACUUCUCUGGUAGCAUCCCGCCUACUUUAGGCCUUCUUAAUGUGCUAGAAGUUCUGUAAGUGUAAACAUAUGAACUUGUUAUGGUCCUAGCAUGCAUACCUGAUUCCAAUCAUGAAGUUCAAUCAACGCAGGCGUUUCGACAACAACAAUCAUUUGUCUGGGCCAGUCCCCACAAACAUCAACAACCUUACCAACCUUGCUGAACUGUGAGUCCCCUGUGUGCUUAUGCUUCUGUUUUUUUGCUAGUAUCAAUUAUACAUAUGAGGAAACUUACUCCCCCUCCAUUAUCUCUUCGUUUGGCUUUAGCCAUCUAGAAAACAAUCGGCUCACUGGCCCACUCCCAGACCUGACAGGAAUGGGUGCACUUAGCUUCGUGUAAGCGAUGAAUUGAAUUCACCUUUCCUUUCUGAAAACAUGAAUAGAGUUGUGAUUAAAUCAUGAGCAACUCCGUCACAGCCUCACAGGGACACGAGUAACAACAGCUUCAGCGCAUCCGAUUCUCCAGCCUGGUUCACUGCUUCGCCGUCUUUGACUUCGUUGUAAGUUUCUGGUCUUUUGUUAAAGAAAAAAAGGGCAAAUUAUCUGAAUUAUCAUUGACUCCAGAUACCGAGUGUUUGACAAAAAACUACCACUUUAGGGGUUCGCGUCCCACAAAACUACCACUUAAAAAAAGUGACCGAAAACUACCAAAAAAUUUUAAUUUUGUGACUAAAAACUACCACUUUCAGAUAAUGAUCAGUUUAGACGAUUUAAACAUGUUGACCGUCCAGUUGACCAUUAUUACAGGUGGGACCCACACGUCAUUCUUCUUCCUCCUCUCUUUAUCUUUCUUUGGCAUUUCCACAAACAGCUUCUGUGCAUCCCGGCUCCCCGGCGGUCGUCGCCGGAGGCGAGAGGGAGGCCGAAGGGAGGCCACCAUCGCGGCGAGCCCUUGUUGCUGGGCGAGACUGCUGCUGCCCGAAUUCUGCGUCGUCGGGCACGCGGAGGAUGAGGAGGAGGUGGCGCGGCGCAGGCAGGGCAGGUUGACUACGAGGGAGCCGUCGACCAGAUCGGAGCGGAGGUCGAAGACGAGCUCCUCCGGCUCGAGCCGCGCGGCGGCGCGGAGUAGCGAGUUGACGCGGGCGGGCCGCGAGGGCGCGCCACCGACGCGGUCCUCGAAAGCACCAACGGCGGGGUGCUGGGUAGGGCCCCCGCGCGGGUGGUGGAGGAGGGCGCCGUGCGGGGGUUCGUCGCGGCCGAGUCGUGGAGGCUCAUGACGUGCGGCGGGCGGCGGCCGACCNNNNNNNNNNNNNNNNNNNNNNNNNNNNNNNNNNNNNNNNNNNNNNNNNNNNNNNNNNNNNNNNNNNNNNNNNNNNNNNNNNNNNNNNNNNNNNNNNNNNNNNNNNNNNNNNNNNNNNNNNNNNNNNNNNNNNNNNNNNNNNNNNNNNNNNNNNNNNNNNNNNNNNNNNNNNNNNNNNNNNNNNNNNNNNNNNNNNNNNNNNNNNNNNNNNNNNNNNNNNNNNNNNNNNNNNNNNNNNNNNNNNNNNNNNNNNNNNNNNNNNNNNNNNNNNNNNNNNNNGGCGCGCGGCUGCGGGCGACGGCCGGCCAUGGGGAGGCGCGCGGCUGCGGGCGGCGGCCGGCCAUGGGGAGGCGCGCGGCUGCUUGCCCUCAGGUGCGGGUGCACACGACAUGUUUGAGGAUAUGCCAGAGAGAGGAGGAAGAAGAAGAUUGUGGGCCUGCAUGUCAUAAACGCAUUUUAAUCGUCUAAACCGGUCAGUAUCUGAAUGUGGUAGGUUUUAGUCACAAAAUUAGAAAAUUUUGAUAGUUUUCGGUCACUUUUUUGAAGUGGUAGUUCUGUGGGACGCGAACCCCUAAAGUGGUAGUUUUUUGUCAAACAUUUCCAGAUACAUAGAAAAUCUUCGCAUCAGCGGACAGCUCCCGCAAGAACUUUUCAGGCUUCCUGCAAUUCAGACACUGUGAGGGCUUGCUACUUGCUAGCUGAUAAAUGUACAAGUACAUAUGAUCAUACAAUUAUCCACAUUCAAUUAAACUGUUACUGGCUGGCAAUUUCAGGAAGCUUCGGGGCAACCGCUUCAACGGCACCCUAAAUAUUGGGUCGGACUUCGGUACUCAGCUCCAAACAAUUGAUUUGCAGGAUAAUCAGAUCAAAAAGAUCACUGUUGGGGGAACGAAAUAUAACAAGAAACUCAUGUAAAAACACUCUGCAUUACACAACUUGAAGUUCCUUCAGUCGCAAAAAAAAAAAAAAAAAACUAAACUAAACUAGAAGUUCCUUGACGGAUUAAAAGUUUUCAUAUAUGUUCUCGUCACAGACUUUCAGGAAGAGUAAAUAGUGCCUUCAGGAAAUCCAAUAUGCAACACAGGGAACAACGAGCAAUACUGCAAAAUCAAGGGACAGUCGUCUAACCCCGACGCGCCACCAUAUGCUACCAAAAAGAACUGUUCUGGGCUGCCAUCCGAAUGCCUCUCGAGCCAGCUUCUGAGCCCAAGCUGCGUGUGCGCUGUGCCGUACAAGGGCAUACUGUCCUUGAGAGCACCAUCAUUUUCUGACCUCAGCAAUGAAUCGUACUAUCUUCUACUCGAAAACGAUAUGAAGACCAAGCUCUUGUCAUUCAAGGCCCCAGUCGACUCAAUUGCUCUUCAGAACCCCUUCUUUGAUGCGACCAACUACUUGCGGUUGCGGAUGAGCUUGGAGGUGUUCCCCAACGGCAAGAUUCAGUUUGGGGAGCAGGAUAUUUCUGACACUGGGUUCCUUCUGAGCAGUCAAACAUAUAAGCCACCCCAUAUUUUCGGUCCAUUCUAUUUCAACGCCCAAAGCUAUCCUUUUGCAAGGGGUAAGAUCAUUGAUGGAAAAGCUACAUUGUCAACUAUUUGUCAUUUCACCUCUGGUAAAAUUAGGAUCUUUUUAAGGUUCUUCAUAUCGAUUAUUGGUUGACAGGUCUCUCAGCACGACGAACAGCUCUCUUGUGCAUGAACAUGACCCAUGCCUGAAUCAUAGCUAUUAGUGCUCCUCCCUGAAGUACCAGCCGCAUCCGUGCGUCUAUAACCUAGUCCAUAUCGAGGGUGCGUUGAGCAAUGGGAAAAUCGAUCCUACACCUUGUCUAAUGGCCUAACAACGCACUUAACUUAGGGGACAGGCGGUGUUGCUUACCGGCGGGGACGAGGACGACGAAGGGGGGCCAUGGCCAAAUGGAAGAGCAGCAGCAGCUCCUACUACCGGAUCUGCUACCGCCGCUUGCACAGAUAUGAGUUGCCGCCGCCGGUGUUAAUGAGGCUAGAGGAAGUGGUUGUCCUUAGAGGUAGUGGUGACCGAGUAAAUGGGUGGGGGUGGUGAGCCUAGAUUUGGCGUUGUGUCGCCGCGCCCGAUUUCCAUCUCUCGCCAUCCCCANNNNNNNNNNNNNNNNNNNNNNNNNNNNNNNNNNNNNNNNNNNNNNNNNNNNNNNNNNNNNNNNNNNNNNNNNNNNNNNNNNNNNNNNNNNNNNNNNNNNNNNNNNNNNNNNNNNNNNNNNNNNNNNNNNNNNNNNNNNNNNNNNNNNNNNNNNNNNNNNNNNNNNNNNNNNNNNNNNNNNNNNNNNNNNNNNNNNNNNNNNNNNNNNNNNNNNNNNNNNNNNNNNNNNNNNNNNNNNNNNNNNNNNNNNNNNNNNNNNNNNNNNNNNNNNNNNNNNNNNNNNNNNNNNNNNNNNNNNNNNNNNNNNNNNNNNNNNNNNNNNNNNNNNNNNNNNNNNNNNNNNNNNNNNNNNNNNNNNNNNNNNNNNNNNNNNNNNNNNNNNNNNNNNNNNNNNNNNNNNNNNNNNNNNNNNNNNNNNNNNNNNNNNNNNNNNNNNNNNNNNNNNNNNNNNNNNNNNNNNNNNNNNNNNNNNNNNNNNNNNNNNNNNNNNNNNNNNNNNNNNNNNNNNNNNNNNNNNNNNNNNNNNNNNNNNNNNNNNNNNNNNNNNNNNNNNNNNNNNNNNNNNNNNNNNNNNNNNNNNNNNNNNNNNNNNNNNNNNNNNNNNNNNNNNNNNNNNNNNNNNNNNNNNNNNNNNNNNNAAAAUCGGCAUGGCCAAUCGAGGGCGUUGAUGCGCCCUCCAACGGCUCACGCAUCGUGCAGCACAAGAAAAAAAAGGCGUGUCACUUGCCGAAGCUACCCGCUUCAGUCCCGAGCUCUCGGACCCAGAUGGCAUCCACCUCGCCGGAACCCGCAGCGACCGAGACCGGCGACUCCGUCAAAAUCCGCCGCCUACAGAUCGCCGACCGCGAGAGGGGCUUCCUACCCCUCCUCUCCCAGCUCUCCUCCUGCCCGGACCUUACCGAGUCCGAGUUCGCCGCGUGCUUCGCCGACCUCGCGGCCCUCGGCGACGACCACGUCAUCCUCGUGGCCGAGGACCCCGCCGCGGCUCCGGAGCGGCGGAUCCUCUCCACGGGGUGCCUCUUCGUGGAGCGCAAGUUCCUCCGCGGCGGCGGCAAGGUGGGGCACGUGGAGGACGUGGUGGUCGACGCCGCCGCGCGCGGCCGGGGGCUCGGGCUCCGCGUCGUGCGCCGCCUCGUGGAGAUCGCGAAGGGGGCCGGCUGCUACAAGGUCAUCCUGGACUGCACCCCGGAGCUGCGCGCCUACUACGCCAAAUGCGGCUUCGUGGAGAAGGGGGUUCAGAUGGCCGUGUACUUCUGAUCCAUCCAUGGGGUAAUGCGCAACAGAGACUGCAUUUCUUUGCCCCAUCGCAUCUAUCCGUUUGUCUGUGGCAAUCUGUUAUCAUACUAUCAUUACUCUGAACUUGUCCGUGUUAGUGACUGAGAAUGCUAUUUAUGGAAUCCCAACUUUAUGAUGUGGCUGUAUGGCUUUGGCCUGUUUCUGCUGCGUUCACAAACGAAAAUUCCGUGCUAUAUUGUCAGGUUAAAUAACAGCGAUGAUCCUGUCGCUGCUAAUGUUCCAAAUAUCGGCCAGUUAAUCGGCAUCUCGGUCAGUUCAUUGCUACUCAGGUGGAUCACCGAAUAGCCGAUAGUAACUGAUUUAUCAGCGGAUUAACUGCUGAUUCGCCUAUUUAUCCCUACUCAGCACCUGAACGAUGCGGUACCAGUUACCGAUAUCCUGAACAUUGCCUACUAGUGUAAAUCUCGAAAGUUACUACUAGUUCUUUCAGUCAGUAAAGCUGUCAGGCUAAGCUUUGCCAACCAAGGACAAGUGAACCGGGGAUUUUCUGUUAGAGCUGAAUGAAGUUCUAUGCAUAUUACUGUAGAUGGUAAACCAUAACACCAUCAUAGUACCUGGUAGGAGCUGCUAUAGUGAAUCAAAUCUUUCUAGGCAUUUACCAAAUGAGCUAGCAUAGACACAUAAUCAUGCCUAUUCAAUCAAAUUAUGUGUCAUGAAGGUAACCCUGUCUAACAGUGUACAGUGAUUGUUGCUGAAAGAACUUUUGGUACCGAGGCUCUUGAGGUUUCACUUUUAGAGAUUGGCCAACUGAUGCCCCUUGUGAAUAUUCAACAUGCAUCACCCUAUGAUUUGAGACAUUUUGUGGAGUGCAUGCUUUUAUGGUUCUACGCAGCUGCGUGACACUGCUAGGGUCCUCGAGACGGUAUCAAGAUAGCCUGUGCAUUUGCAGGAACAUGAUAACUUGAUAAGUACUCCCUCCGCUCCCAAAUGUAAGUCUUUUUAGAGAUUUCAACAAGUGACUACAUACGGAGCAAAAUGAGUGAAUCUACACUCUAAAAUAUGAAAAUAUACAUCCGUAUGUUGUAGUCCAUUUGAAACCUCUAAAAAGACUUGUAUUUACGAACGGAGGGAGUAGCAAUUACUAGUUGAUGAUGACUUGUCAGACACUUAUGGGUUUGUUUCUGCAAUGCUUAUUGGCUUAUAUUUUUCACUUCCAUUUUCUGCCGGUGAUAUGUGACUGAGCGAGUACUAUCCUCCACUCGGAGUCGGGACCCAACCACAGUUUGAAUUUGCCAAAUUGGUACCCAAGACAUUACAACUUACAAGCCAGUUCAACACCUUCAGCAUUCGGCACUUGUAAAAGGUUACUGGAAACCAAUUUGUUAAUCAUCACAUGAAGAGUUAUUAUCUUCACAAGUUCAUUGGAAACUAAUUUCUAUCGUGGGCAUUUGCUAAUCUCUUUUCCCAUUAUAGGUUGUGUGGAAAUAUAAAUCUUGCAAUAUAACCUUCUAGUUUGCUUUACACCCAACUUCCUUGGUCAUGAUAAAAAUAAUUAUGUUGUUUCAAUUGUUAUUUGGUUUCCAAGUCAAUUCAAUUGAGUUAACAGGGUCAACGUAGCGGUCACAGCAGAUACGAUUGUUCCACCUUCCAGUUUUGUUGAAUAAGAAUCUGCAACAUUUGCUUCCAUAUUGUUAUCCAGUACUCUAUUUUUGAAAAUCCUGCUCUGUAUAUAAAAAAUAAUGUUAGUUUUGUUUGUACUUGAUCAUUUGGUGUUUGAUUACAUGUGCUGAAAUACCUUCGAGAUCUUAUACGUAACUUCAUCUUCUUGUCACAGGUAAUUCAUGGCUAAUAGUCAAUCCAUUCUGAAGAAAUUAGUACUGUCAUGGGGUGCAGCUCUUAACCUGGCUGAUUUUCCAGUAUCACAAUGGACCAUUGAGAAGCAUCCUUGGAGCUAAAUUCUUUUCCAGAAAAUACAAACUUCUAUCACGGGCUGGUACUGCUGAGCUCUCAUUCCCCUCCAUUCGAAUUGGAUGUUAUACCACCCACGUUAGAUGCUAUACCAAACAAUGGCUCCAGAAUAACAUGCCGGCUAGUUUACCGAGGUCGAUAUGAUUACCACUUUUUGUAGACUCAUUUGCUUACGACGGUGUAACUCGAUGAUAGAGUGUGAAACCACACAAAAGUCUCUUUGUGGACUUUAUUAAUCAUUAGGAAUAUUAUAAUCUGCCACGCAGGAAUUCUCAAGAUCAUCUAGGAAGGAUUCUAGCCAGACCAUGGUUCUAGCAUGAAGCCUCCUAAAGCUAGAAGCUCAUCCGAACAUUAGUGUUUCCUGUCUUUUGGCUGUUUCUUAAUGAAUGAAUUGACGUCAAGAUGAGUACAGUUCCUUAAUGAAUGAAUUGACAGGAAGAUAAUCACUCUCUGCACAUUGACCACAAUUGUACCAUGGCUGUCUACAUAUGAUCAUCCACAUUUGGCUAGACGCAUCCCCUCAAUUGCUUGACCCUGGGAAGCUGGGGAUUUCAGCUUUUGCUUUCAAGAACUACACGAUUUACUAGGCGCAUAUCUCAACUCAUUGCCACAAGUGAGUUCCUCAUUAAGAUCUACGAUCAAGAAUUCUCAAACCUAUGAAGUUCCUAGAGUUCACCAGUCUCAAUGGUAAUAUCAUCACAAGGAAUGACGGAACGACCAGAGUCAAACAACAAGUCAAAACUUCAAGCACUUGAACAAAAUAUCCAACGUCUCAAAUCUUCUAUCAAGAAGUCAUGGAACAUCAUGAACAGUAGAUAACAAUAAGCUAAAGCAAGACUUCCCAAUAUGCUCUCAGCAGAUAUGUAUUAAGUUCUAACUGAUCGAUACGACAGACAGGGGGUUUAGUCCUCAUCCUCCACAACCUUGGUACCCAAACCUUUAAGACCUUCCUGGGGGACUUCAGCAACUGUGACCAGAGAGUACAGCUCCUCCUUAGCAUCCUCCUCGUCGUUCCUCUUGCGGGCAAUCCUGACACGGACUCUCCUAGGGACACUCCUGAUGCCGCUGCUCCAGAUGUGCUUGUUGAGCUUCACGUCAAUGCGGACAUCGUUGGUUCCCAUGGCCUUCUGUGCAAACUUCCUGAUCUCCUUGAUGGCAUUUGGUGCCUUCUUCUUGAAGGUGCUGUUCAAUAGAAUGAAGUUGCCAUUAGUGAUAGAUACAAAUAGAGGAUUUUGUAAACCACAAAGAAAGCAUGAGAAAGAAAGAUGGAACAUUACAACACAAGCAACAUAGAAAUGUAAUAUAUAUAUAUAUAAACACAAACAAAACAAAGCAAUUGUGGAGAAAAUAUAAUUCAUCUCAAUGUAGUGCCCAAAUGGAACUCAUGACAGCAUAUGAAGGCAGCAAGUGUAACGAUGAGUAGCAUCUAUGUACCGGGCAUGUAACUGUAUCAACCACAAGAUUUAAAGACAGAUACCUGACUAUGACAGGGCAUAAUGGACUAGCUAUAAGAUCAAGUAACAAUCUAGUUUCAAUGUAGAGCCCAAAUGGAACACAUGACAGCAUAUGAAGGCAGCAAGUGUAACGAUGAGCAACAUCUAUGUACCGGGCAUGUAACUGUAUCAACCACUAGAUUUAUAGACAGAUACCUGACUAUGACCGGGCAUAAUGGACAAGCUAUGAUCAAAUGACAAAAUCUAGUUUCAAUGUAGAGCCCAAAUGGAACACGUGGUAGCACUUGAUGGCAACACAUGUAACGAUGAGCAACAUCUAUUUACCGGUCAUGUAACUGUAUCAACCACAAUUUUAAGACAGAUACCUGACUAUGAACGGACAUAAUGGGCAGAUUAUACGAUCAAAUAGAUAAUAAAGUUUAGUUUUAAUGUAGCGCCCAAAUGGAACACGUGAAAGCAUAUGGAGGCAACACAUGUAACGAUGAGCAACAUCAAUGUACCGGACAAGUAACUGUAUCAACCACAAUUUCAAGACAGAUACCUGACUAUGUCCGGGUACAAUUGCUCAAUAAACUUACCAUAUUAAAAAACAAAUAGAAACCAGAAAUAACAGACAAUAUCAAUGCGAAAUAUACAGCCCAAAUGGAACACAUAGUAGCACCAAGAGAAGCCAUACGUGUAACGAUGAGCGGAGUUAAUCUCUCGAGCAUGUAACUGUGCGAAGCCACAUGAUUUAGAAGGCAGACACCUGACUAUACCCGAUUAACACCUAAUAGAAUGGUACAGAUCGAAGAUCCACGUGAAAAAAAAUGUGGGAUCAGAUACAAGAGCAGAAACCAAGAGAUCGGGAUACCGCUCGGUCAUGCGAUCCCUAGUAUCAUCUAGCUGGAAGGAUUUCGAUCCAUACAGGUGCAACAGCCAUUCGCGAGCCCACAUAGUGCUCGCAGGCAGCAACCUUUUCGCACCAGCAAAUCCACCAGGCGAGCCCGUAAGCGCCAUGGCGACACCCCGUGAAGCGCGGAGGUGGAAUCUGACUAGCGGAUCUACUGGGAGCGCGGAGCUCGGGAAUGGAGGGGGUGGGUGAGGAGGGAGGGUUAUACCAUCCAUGGAGGCGCUUGUGGAGGUUGACGGUGUACUCGCGGGUCACCACCUCGUCCUUGCGCGGGCCGGGGGCGCGCUUCUUCUCCGACAUCUCCGACGGCCUCCUUUCGCCCUGCUCCUCUCUUGGCUUCGGUGGAGGCUGCGGCGAUAGGAGAUAAACCCUAGUGGGGAAGGCCAGGUCGCAGGGGGUCGCGGCUUUAUAGGGCGGAAAUUAGGGCUUGCUGGCUGACUGGGCCUCUCCGGAAUGUUUCGUGACGGCCCGUUUAAGUAGGCCCUUCGUCCAUGUGUUAUGUUUUUGUUUUCUUUUUGUAGGUGAAUCUGUUAUGAAAUUGGAGUGUGUUUGGUUUUGGGCCCGAGCGAAUCCCACCAAAAACUUUGUUGCCGGUAGUUUGAUACUUUGAUUAAUGUUUGCCUCCACAUAAUUUGGCGAAUUCUGGCUGGAAAAAUGGAGUGACGUUGACCAAGGAGCAUAGUCACAUCGGGGGAAAAAAUCUAAGCAAAAGCAAAGAUUUAGGUCAUGGCCAAAAAUGGGUACGGCUGAAUUGUUAAUUAUUUCGACACACUAGGUAAACUUUGUUCUCCCUAAUAAACAAGAUUUUGGAGGAUAGCAUUGGCAAUCGAGAGGAAGCAAAUCGUCCAAUUUGCUAUUAUUCUUUUCCAUUUUUUUAUGGAGCAAACAGACUAAGAGCAUCUCUCGCCCAUCGCGCAAACCGGUUCAUAAUAAUAGUUGAUAUUGUGGAUGGGUGCCGAUUUUUCAUCCCGAACAGAUCCUGUAAAAUCACUCAUCCGCUAUUUUUUUCGGGAUCCUGCAUAGUUCGGGCCGAAUCCGCUAUAUCUACCGGAUCCCUCCCUCUUUUUGCAGGGUCCUCCAAAACAAAAAGGGUUGGCGGGAGAGAAGUUUCAGCUCUCGCCACGGACUUCCGGUCGCUGCCCGCGAGCCGCGCGAGCUGCCGCCGUACUCGAAAAUGUUUACCAUACCAUGGGAUGUAGCGACCAGACCUCAAACAGUCUGUGCUGCUGUGCACCAGUGUCAUCCCUGGAUCAGUAAUGCUGACACCACAGUACAAAUGGAGGAUUUAUAACAGAGUAGCAAUCACACACUUAUUACAACGGGUAUCUCAAAAGAGAAUAAGUAUGAUAAAUAUGGCUUAAGGCCAUCUAAAUACGAUAACAGCGGAAGACUUGGAAGAUAAGUGAGUCCAUCAACUCCAACGGCAUCACUGAGUAUAAGACCACGACCUAAGGCACCUUACUCGUCGUCUGAAAAGUCUGCAACAUGAAAUGUUGCAGCCCGAAAACGGGUCAGCACAUGGAAUAUGCUGGCAAAAUAACACAUAGAGAGUAAUGAACAGAAUGAUACUAUCACUACAUGCAUAUUUGGCUGGUAGAAGGCUCUAUGGUUACUGUUCUGCAAAAAGCCAAUUUUUCCCUACUGCAAAGGAAUAAAUUUUAUUUAACUAUCAUGGUGGUUGUUAAACAUUGAGAAUGGUUGACAGCAUUCUCAAUCACAAUUAAGUAUCAUCAUUAACCCAACAAAAUUAAUUAAAGUAACAUGAUGAGAUUCACAUGAUAAUCCAAGUACUAGAUACUCAAGAUCUCCAUAACCGGGGACAUGGCUAACCAUGAUUAGAUUAUACACUCUGCAGAGGUUUGUGCACUUUUCCCCACAAGACUCGAUCGCCUCCGCUUGAUUCUCGCACUACAUGAUGUUUGAGAAACGGAUGACCGAGACACAGUCUUUCUGAAGCGUUAGCACCUUACGAUGAGUAGACCGGGACACCUACAUCCCCUACAUCUGCUAGUCUACCACUGUAAGAGUUCACACGACUUAAUCAACUAUGCUAGAGCCCAUAAUAGCUUGUGGCUGCACACGGAAGUUUCUAGCAUGAAUAAUCUCAUGAUCCCUUUGAACCUGGGUGGCGGUCCAAAAGAAAAACAGGCAAUCCUGGAAUACCCAGGUAUCUCAAUCCACCCAGAUGUGAGUUUUAGUUGCCACCUUAAGUUUAACCAUUAAUUAACAAUCUCACAUCUAUCGUGAAUAUCUCUCAAAUCCAAUCCACGCCUACAAGCAUAGCAUAGCAAUAUGAGCAAACGUAGAAGUAACUCUCAAGGGUUUGAUAAUAAAGCAGGUAAUAGGUACUACCUCAACUACUUCCCAAUGCCCACAAUUUAAUUAGAUCCUAACCAUGCAAUGUUUGAGGAUUUGUCUAAUGCAAUAAAACUGGGUAGUAAAAGAGGUAUGAUCAAAGUGUUACUUGCCUUGCUGAUGAUCCGUGAAACCUAGAGAUUCGAAGUAGCAAGCGGCGCACUCCGGGUACUCUAUCGCAAACAAACAAGCAUACAAUAAGCACUCAUCAAAUGCACAGGUAAAACUCAAAUAAAAGAUCUAACCAGAAAGUUCAACUUAAGAACUCCGGUUUGCAAAAAGAAUCAAAUCAAACGAAGCGACGAAAGUCAAACGGCGAAAGAAACAAGAUUCGUUUACUAAUCUGGAUCUAAGUCAAAUUUUACAGUAGCAAAAACUUGUUUGAGUUGGUUAAACAGAAAGAGAAUUUCGAGACGAAACUCUAGGCGCUUGAAUCGCCUGAUUCCGAUAAACGAGCGAAAAGUUAAACCAGAACGAAAAUCUGAUCAGAAAUCGCGAUCUGGAAUAACCGCGGAAAAACCGACGAAAAAGAAAACUGACGAACAGUCAAACGAACGGACGUUCGUUAACUGCGGCUAACCGACGAACUCGUUCGUUAAAACGAACAGAUCGGUGAACGUUCACUAAUUAAUUAAACCAAAAAAAAUAAACCGAUCUAAAAAAAUAAACCUAUGGUUUCGAAAAAAACGAGCGGUUUUUUUAAAACCGGGCGGUCGGCGGCGGCUGCAGCUACCUCGUCGGGACGGGCUCCGGCGGGGUCGGGCGAGGGGCGGCAAGGGCUCGGGCGACGUCGGCGGCGGCGUACGGNNNNNNNNNNNNNNNNNNNNNNNNNNNNNNNNNNNNNNNNNNNNNNNNNNNNNNNNNNNNNNNNNNNNNNNNNNNNNNNNNNNNNNNNNNNNNNNNNNNNNNNNNNNNNNNNNNNNNNNNNNNNNNNNNNNNNNNNNNNNNNNNNNNNNNNNNNNNNNNNNNNNNNNNNNNNNNNNNNNNNNNNNNNNNNNNNNNNNNNNNNNNNNNNNNNNNNNNNNNNNNNNNNNNNNNNNNNNNNNNNNNNNNNNNNNNNNNNNNNNNNNNNNNNNNNNNNNNNNNNNNNNNNNNNNNNNNNNNNNNNNNNNNNNNNNNNNNNNNNNNNNCCGGCGGCGGGCUUUCGGCGUCGGCGGGUGCGGGAACGGGGUGAGGGAGAGGCGGCGGGGUGGGGGAGUAUAUAUAGUAGGGGGGGUGCUCCGGCUUGGGGAAGGGGCUAGGGGCGGCGGCGUGGCCGUGCGGGACUCGGCGGUGGCGGCGCUGUCGUCUCCAGGUCGGGGACGACUCGGGGUGGGCUGAGGAGCUGGGCCGUCGGCUGGGCUUCGGCCCAGUCGGCGCUCGGGCGAUUUUUUUUAAAUAAUUCCGCCGAACUAAAAAAAUCGUAGAAAAAUAAAUAAAAAUCCAAAAAUGCCAAAACAAGUUUUCACCGUCUAAUUAAAAUAAUUAGAACGAGAUGAACAUUUUCUUGGCCCGAAAAUGCAGUUUUGAAAACGUGCAAUUUUCUAAUGCAAUUAAAAUUGCAAAUAAAAUCCGAAUAAAAUCAAAUAUUUGAUUUUAAUAUUUUUCCUCCAAUAUUUCAAUUAUUUUGGAGAAGUCAUAUUUUCUCCUCUCAUUUAUUUUAAUAUGAAAUAUUUUUCGGAGAGAAAAAUAAUUAAAACCAAAAAUCCUCGUUUUAUUAUUUGAUAAAAAUCAAAUAUGAAAACCGGGAAAAAUCCCCAACUCUCUCCGAGUCAACUCAUCUGAUUUCCGGUAGAUUUGCUUAGGAUUUACGAGGAUUUGCCAAAAUGCAAUAAAAUAUGCUAUGCAAUGAUGAUCUAAUGUAUAACAUUCCAAAUUGAAAAUUUGGGAUGUUACAUGGGAUCACUUGAUUCCUUUCGGUACAUCUUGUACGCUUUGUGUGUUAAUCAACUUGAUUCACUCUUUGACUUAGUCUUGAUCAACCUUGUAUUAUGUCUUCUCUAUGACCAAUCUUUGGAUAAUUCCUUGAAUAACACCUUCGUCAACACAUAAACUCCUUUGAAAGCGCAACUAAUCCCCUGAUGGUUUUGGUAAUUCAUAAUAAUAUAUAGCUUACUGAACUAAUAUUCAUUCAAGUUAAAUAUUUUAUAAAGUUCAAUGAUUGGCAUGGCAUGGACUAGAGAUGUGGACCCCUCAAAAUGCUAAGGACAAAGAUUGGCAAAAGCAAGACUCUUCAUUUCUAUUUUAGUGAUCCAAUAUUACAUUGAGUCCAGAGGAAAGGCAAUACUAUUAAAAGGGGAUGAGGUGUUGCUUAAUGGUCUACUUGCUCAAAAUGCUUAGUGAUAUUGCUCCAAAACCCUCAGCCACUUUCUCAUUUCCACAUAUGUCCAAAACUCAGAAAGUCAAACUCGGCCCCACCGAUUUCACCUAUCCGGCGCCACCGAGUUCAUUUGACAUAGCCACUCCCAGAAACCCUAGGCAAUUCGGUCACACCGAUACGGAUUUCGGUCUCACCGAGAUGGCCUUGCAAACUCUCUGUUGGCUGUUGUAAUCAUUUCGGUCUCACCGAAAUGUGCAGUCGGUCCCACCAAGUUUGCUUGACCAACUCUCUGUUUGCUCUUUGCUCGUUCUCAUCGAGUUCAAGCAAUCGGUCUCACCGAGAUGAGGUUUUGCCAUAGCCCUAGCACAUCGGUCCCACCGAGAUGUUCCAGUCGGUUCACCGAGAUUCCUAACAUUCACAUUUUGAACUGAAUCGGUCUCACCGAGUUCUUCUAUUUGGUCUGACCAAGUUGGGUCAAAUCUGUGUAACGGUUGGAUUUUGUGUGGAGGCUAUAUAUACCCCUCCGCCCUCUUCUCCAUUUGAGAGAGAGCCAUCAGAACGUGCCUACACUUCCACUACUCAUUUUAGAGAGAACCACCUACUCAUGUGUUGAGACCAAGACAUUCCGAUCCAACCACAAGAAUCUUGAUCUCUAGCCUUCCCCGAGUUUCUUUCCACUCAAAUCAUCUUUCCACCAUAGCCAAAUUUGUGUGAGAGAGUUGAGUGUUGGGGAGACUAUCAUUUGAAGCACAAUAGCGAGGAGUUCAUCAUCAACACACCAUCUAUUACCUUUUGGAGAGUGGUGUCUCCUGGAUUGGUUAGGUGUCACUUGGGAGCCUCCGACAAGAUUGUGGGGUUGAACCAAGAAGUUUGUAAGGGCAAGGAGAUCGCCUACUUUGUGAAGAUCUCCCCGAGUGAGGCAAUUCCUGUAGGGUAACGCAGCAGAAAACAAAAAAUUUCCGACCUACGCACCAGCCCAGGACCACUAUGGAGACUGCAUACAUGGUUUGAUCUUUUCGUUACCGACUCGUAGCGCAGCGGGAAGUAGAGUCGAUGACGAUCGGCGGUGCAGAUCCCCGCAGCUAGGAUUUUACAACCUCCCAACCGCGAGGAUGUAUACCCUCAUCUGCCCCUCGGACAGUCCUCCGGGAGGUGGUCGAAUAGUCCUCCAGACGGUGUCGCGGACAGCCCUUCGGGAGGACCUUCGAAACUCGGACGGUCACUCAGACAGCCCUUCGGGAGGAGCUUUGAAACUCAGACGGUCACAUGGACAGCCCUUCGGGAGGCACUCUCAAACUAAGACCGAAAUUACAAUCUCUCUACAGAGUUUCACACAUACGGUGUCAUCUAUCCAGUAGGGCUUCGCCGUCCAGAACUAGUUCCUGCCGGAACCCAGACAGCCUUUCGGCUCUACGAAACUAUUUCGUGGGGAGGGAGAGAGAAGCCAGAUCAUUGCAAUGGCACUUGUAUGUGAGAAAAGAGUGAGUGUGGAGAGUGCCUCUCCACCUCUAUUUAUAGGAAAACCCAAGGGGUAGGGGACACAUGAAAAACCCAAAAAUGCCCACACUUUAUGUCACACAUAAAGGGCAUAAAGGGCAUAAAGGGAUGACAAGUGGAGCCCCAUGGAGGAGCUGCACCCUCCAACGUCCCACUUUCAUGGGGGGCCCCCAAAGGGGGUUCCUUGAUCCCCAAGUCCUUCUAGAAGCCUUUUGGGAAAAGCCCCAAAAGGUGGCUUUUCAUAAAUAUCCCAAAAUACAGUUUCACUAUUCACGAUGACAUUUUUCAGCGCCCGUUCGAACUUAAAAUAUUUAUGUGGGCUUAGAACAUUUCCAGUACCCACUCAAAUAAUUUUCAACGCAUUCCGAAACAAUUCCGAAUUAGUGAUUUUCAUCUGCGAAAAGCAUCUGAAGUGGUUCCGGCAGCUCCGGAGCAAUUCCAGCUUUUAUCCCGAAAAAUUCCAGAAAGUUUCCAGAAUGACUCUGGCACCCUCCAAGAAUUAUCAGGCAUGUGCCGAAACCAAUUUGACUUAAUAGUAUAUCCCAAAACAACUUUUUGGUUUCACCGAAACUCAUCCGAUGACCUCUCUCUGCGAAACUUUUCCGCUGUCCGAAACUUUUCGGUGUCCGAAACUUUUUCGGUGAUUUUCUCUCAGACUCCCUGUCUAGUAUUCAACAGAUAGAUGACACUUAAGCGUGUGACCCUAUAGGUUCGGUGAAGUAUAGAAAUGACCCGGAACCCCUUCCGAUCAAUGAUCAACAUCGGAGCCAUGGACACCCAUAUUGACCCCUAUACCCACACGAAUAAAUAUUCGAGCGAACCUCCAGUUGCAGUGAGGUAUUCCUGUUGCUUCGCGAUAUGUCACAAACACCCAAGGUGAGAUUUAUUGCAUCCCCGUGGACGAACAAUUUGUCCACCAUGCAAGUUACCUCGUUACCGAUUUUGUUCUCUUUUCUCGUUUCCGUGUUCCAGCAUCCCAGUGAUCAAAUCACAAGGUGUCUGGCCAGACGAUUAUGGAUACCGUAACACCGAGAGGGCCUGAGAAUAUCUCUCCAUCGUCAGAGGAGCAAAUCCCAAUCUUGAGCUAUCAAGUUACUUGACAUACUUUUCCAUGAACCCGUAAGCCGCCGUAAUAGCCACCCAUUUACGGAUGACGUUUAACAAACCCCAAAGUUCAUGAAGCAAGCAUGAAGAAACUCGAUACUCUCAUGGUCUAAGGAAUCAUGCAAACGUUAACCAUCUCUGUGUUAUGUACCAUUAACUUGUGACGAAUGAAUCUCAUAGCAUAACAUCAAUCCGGGUCGAUUCAACACAAAUGUUCUCUUAACAUUGUGCCCUCAAAGUUGAUGGCAUAGACAUGCCCAUGAUCAGGAAAACAGAACCAUCAUGCAACACUUGAGCUAGUCUUAGAGGCCAGACUAGGAAUACUUCUUACCGUUUAUUAUUCCACACGUGCAUAUGAGUCUCCCUCCGAGCCUCGUGGAUAUUGCAGACUCGAGAAUCAUUGCAGUUAUAGCAUGGAACAUAAACAUAAUUAUGAACUUGGAGAUAAAUAAUAUCAUUUAUUAUUGCCUCUAGGGCAUAUCUCCUAUAGACUCCCACUUGCACUAGAGUCAAUAAUCUAGUUAAUGCUAAUGCACCUUACACCUAUGGCAUACCGGUGUAAAAAAUGCUUCGCAUGUGGUAUAGCCUGAUGUCCACCGAAUCUGACAACUUCAGCUCCAUGUGUAUCUCUGCAUAUCCUCGCGUUUUCACGCUUUCACAAAAUUCAUAUUUUGUGCGGACUUGGCUUUGUAUAUAUGGAAUCAUUGGUCGAAACCUGAUUCCUCGGACUGAGUUAUGGAGCAAUUAUCUGCAAUAGUGUCCCAUUGACCAAAGUCGUCUUGGAACCAUACUAAGUUCAUGAAUGAACUAUAUGAUUCAACAUCUUUGUCUUUGUCGCUUCUAGAGCGGCAACAUACUUCGCCUCUGUUAUAGAAUUCGCCACAGUAACUUGUUUGGAACAAUUUCCAACUAACUGCACCACCAUAUUGUGUGUUACACAAAACCCUCAAUUUAAAUCAAAAAUCGCAUGGUGAAAUGAUGAAGAUUGUAUUGAUGUAACCUUUUACAACAAACUCUUCAUGAUCUCCACUUGCGAAAAAACAUGUCAUCAGUUCUACUUUAGUACUCAAUGAUCCUUUUUUCACUGUUGUCCCAUGAUCAGUACUUUUGAUCACUUUGGUAUCUAUACUCGCAACAGCUUGGAAAUAUUGGACAUAUCUCGUUGUUUUACAUACCAUGGAAUACAUGAUUAAUCCAAACACAUGAGUGUGUGGAAUCUCCAUCAUGUAUUCUGCUCAUCAGUGUUUUGGGACACCGAUUCUUGCAAAAACUCUUUCCAUGUGACUUUGGCAAGAAUCACUCCUUGUCGUUCUUAGUGCUGAAAGGUUUUAGCAUCUUGUCAAUAUGUAUUUUUUUCUCAGCCCUAUUAGGUAAAUCUAUCUCCAUAGAUCAUUAUGCCUAAUAUCAAGGCUAUUUAGCCCAAGCACUUCAUCGAAAAACUAUAUUCAAAUGAAGUCCUAAUUCAUGUCAAGAAAUUUAUUUCCAAUUAACAAUGUGUCAAGCACACAAGGUUUUCAGAAAUAUUAUUAUGCUCCCACUUACUUUCUUGAAACCACAAGCAUCUUCGUUACCCAUUGAUGAAGUCAAACCCCUUUGACCAUUCCAUCAAAAACGAAGAUUCCAACUCCAUUUUGCUCUCUUUUGUCCAUUGCUGGAACUCUAAAGUUUGCAUACUUACUAGCAUACUCUGGACUGACAAAAUACUUUGGAUUGUAUCACAUACAAGUCCUAGGUUGUAUUUCCAUUUCAUGGAAAUUCCUUUGUCAUCCAUGUUUCAUAUCUCAUGUUUGAAAUAUGUAUUAAUUGCUAGUUUACCCGAACCGAAUUUAAGCAUUGCUAUGGUGAGACAAUCUGAUUGUAGUCAACUCCUUGAACUUGUUCUUGCAACAAGUCGAGCUUAAUGGAUAAAACAUUUUUAUCCGUAUCAGUUUUUAGUCCCAUUACAAUCCGUUAGACUCCAAGUCUUUCGGAGGGUUUAUCAAGAUUUAAAUCUUGAAUCAUUUAUGGAAACUAGCUCGAAUUAUAUUGGCAUUUAGCCAAUUCCGGAGUGAGGGCCCAUCAAUGCUUCCUUGUGUAUCAUAGGUAUACUGUUGUCUAACAACAAUAUCUCGUUUGCACACCUGAGAGGUUUGCACGAGCUUUGCCUAUGUUGUUCAGCUGCAAGUUCGACCGAAGUCCAUACAUCUAAUGUAGAGGCUUCCGUGUUAGUCGCAGUAGGAAACUCUAGAAUCACUUCCAAGGUUCCUUUCCUUUAACAUGAUGAUGAAGAUACUUGUUAUCUCGUCGAGUUGCACUGUCCUCCCACUUACCCUUUUGCAAGAACUAUUCUCUUUAAAAGCAUACCGUUUUGUGGCAAAAAUCCUUUGCCUCGUUAUAGUGGUGGGGGGAUACCCAAUGACUUGGGAUAACUUACAAAGUAGCACUUGUCUGAUUUGGAAUAGGUUUGUAACCUUUUACACAAGCCCCAUAUUCCAAAUGUUAAGAAAAGAUAUAACAUGGUUGGGCGUACCAUACCAUGCCAUCAUUUCAACAGACCUGAUGGAGCUCUUUUCAGUGUAAAAGCCGCAGUCUCUAAAGCAUUACUCUUUAAAAGUGAUAAUGGCAAAUUUAUUUAUGUCAUCUUUGAUCUUACCAUGUCAUAAAUGGUUUGAUUACAUCUUCACAGACAUUCCACUCAUAGUGGUGUUCCGGGAGGUGUAAGUUAUGAAACUCUUUUCACAACUCAUCAGGCAUUCGCUAAACUUGUAACUCAGAUAUUCCUUUCUGCAAUCAAAUUGUAGAAACAUAAUUUCCUUGUUACAAUAACUUCUACUUCAUUUUUGAAAACCUUUCGAAUGAUUUCAAAAGAUCCAUACUUACGUCUUAUCAAGCAAAUAUCCAUAUAUCUACUUGAUUUAUUUCUGAAUAUAGAUUAAUCCACUACUUGCAACAACAUUUAUUGAACUACACAUCAAAAUGUAUGAUCACGAACAAGUUUGUUGCUCGUUCCUUAUGGCAUGCGAACGGUAUUUCAGUCACUUCACUUUUCGGAGGAAAGUUGCAAGUGUCAGAUGAUUAAAAAUCAAACGACAUCAAAAUCCAUCAUAAUGGAAUUUUUCCGUGCAGGUUUCUCCAAUGUGACCAAAUGUAGUGCCACGUAUGUGUGGUAUUCUCAUAGUCUUGCGACAUUUAGCGUCAGUGUUAUGGAUGUAUCAUUUUACCAUCAAUAUUCAUAACAUGCAUCCCAUCUAGGAUGGAAGCAUGGCCCUUCAUGUUAUUCAUAAUACUGAACAACAAUUGUUCUUUUAUGAACAACCCUUUUGCAAUAAACAUUAUGCAAUGGGCUAGAGUGUAAGAAACUCUAAAAUGAAUUAUGAAAGUAAACCCAAAGGUAUUGUAUUAUUAUCAAUAUUCAUAGCAUAAAUCUCAUUCAUAAUGAAAGUAUGGCCCUUGUGUUAUUCAUAACAUCAAACAUAAAAAGUUCUCUUAUGAACAACCUUCUUGCAAGAUACCUUAUGCAAUGGGCUAGAGUUUGUAAAACUCUAAAUGAAUUAUGAAAAUAAAUACAGACGGCAAUACACCGAUGGAAGGUAUAGUAACAUUUACUAUGUUCCCUGUGUAUACCUUAACCUCAUUUUUGGCUAGUCUUUUUAGGCCAUAGUAGCUCUUACAUUGAUUCGCAACAGAAUGCAAUCAAGCGGUAUCUUUGUGAUUAACUCACAAUACCCAAGAAUUAGUGAUUAACAUGUUUAACCAUAAUUCCCAAGAACUAUAUCUUUGACCAGCCUACUAUACAUCAAAAACUUGUAUGACAUUCAUACAAGAGCUGGAUAUUCCAGUCAUCUCUCUUUCUGCCUUUAUACUUCUAACAGUUUAACUUUUAGUAUUUCUCCUACUCGCAAAAGAAGCACCCAACUUAAGAGUGGCGUUAGGCCCGGACUUCCUAGGCGUGUAAGUCAUACUAACACCCUUUGGACACUUCCUUUCUCUUUAAGUUGUUGUUUUAUUCACCUUUCAUUAUAUGACAUGCGUUCUUCUGGAUCCCUUUCCCAACAGUCAAAUGCAUAGUAAACACUUUUACUAAUACUUGCAAACAAACAUUGCUUUGUUUGUAUCUGAAAAUAAUUUUCAGUUCCAUGAAUAUCAUAUAACUAUCCCAACUUUCGAAGUUUGGGUUUCAUGGAAGCAAACAUAUUCCAUUUGACCGUAACAGAAUUCUAGCUUUUGGAUCGAAGGACGAGAGUCACAUGAUCCAUAGCAUUAGCGGGAGGAUACGGAAAGCAUGCGAUAGGACAAAAUCCUUCUCGUCACUUUUGAGGACAAUCCUCACAUUACGUUACCAAACGUAAAGUUUUCACCAAAUAUUUAACAGCUAUUCAAUUUUAACAGGGAAGUGGAAACGCGAGCCAUUAUUCUACAACUAUUUUGCAAGAAACACUUAGACAGUGUUCGUAAUUAAUUGCACUGAGAAUUAAACAAGUUAGUUCUAUACUGCGCUCCCACUCAAUUCAAUAUCUCUCAUAAUUGAUUUAGAGUGAUUCAAGAUCCAUAUUUCUAUUCGAUGCCAUUGACGGGUUCAUCACUAAUGACACGAAUUUCAAUCGGUAGGCCAACUUGCCGAUCACAUCUCUAUGUGAUUCUUGUUCAUCUUUCGAUGGGCGUGUUCUGAGCUCAGGACUCUCCUACCUGAACGUCAAAGACAACCAAGUGAUCUUCCUGCGAGGUCUGACCUCACCCGCCUCAUUCCUCUCGAUUCGUUCGUGCUCAUGUGUACAUGGCGCACCCCGAAAAGAUACGAAUUUCAGACGGUGCUACACUUGGGUGAACACUAACUACUUUGAUAUUUUAAGUGAGAGAUCACCCUAAUAAAAAGCGACUACCCCGCAAUCAAGAAGGGUGCAUCAUAAGGGAUAAACAUCUUAGGCAAUUCAUAAUAGCAUGAUAUGGUAUAGCCCUUUCUGACGAAGAAGUAUUUCAUUCCUUCGUCUUCGGCAUCCGCGUCGGUGUUCACCUUCACAAAGAUUGACACCACCUUGUCGAUGCACCAGAUAAUAUUGCUAUCUCUAUAGCUAAUAAAAUAACUGCAUUACUUAAGGUUGACACGCAGGUCAUUAAAGUGACAAUCAUAUGGCUCCAGCCAUCAUGCUGAAUCAUGACACGCAGGUCAUGUUAAUCAAUUUACAUCAUAUAGUCAUCUCAUACAUAACCAAAUUAUUAUGAGCACUGCUAUACCACAUCACAUGCAUAUCCUGCAAAACCAAGUUAGACGCCUCUAAUCGGUUUAUGCAAAAAUUUAUUUUUGUGGCUUCUAAGGUUUUGACUUAAACCGCAACUACCAACGUUUUAUCAUCAAGUAUGAUUAUUCAAGUUGCUAGAUUAACAUCUCGGGGUGUAUGAAACACGAGAUAAUUAAAUCUCGAGCCCCAUACUAAACUUCGUCAUACGCAUGACCCCCGUGCAGAUCAUAUCUGCAAUGCCCUUUCAUCUGCGAAUUUCAUCUUUCUUUUGACUAUGGCAGAACCCAAAGAACUGAUAGCACUUCCAUGAUCAAUCAGGAUCACAGAUUGCCAGAACUUUGUCAAAUUCCACCAUGUUGUCUCGAGAUUGAGCAAACGCAAAUUCUAGGGAAGCAACAAGAACGUCGGGUAACAGAUUUCAUUUGUCACCCGCAUAAAUAAUUUUCAGCAAUAGAUCUCAUCUACUACCUAAUUAUAUUAUGCAAUACCCAUACAUCUCCAUGUAUUCUAGAUCGAAACCUGCAUCUACGCAUAGCACGACUCUUGAUGCCACUGUAGGGUAACGCAGCAGAAAACAAAAAAAUUCCGACCUACGCACCAGCCCAGGACCACUAUGGAGACUGCAUACAUGGUUUGAUCUUUUUCGUUACCGACUCGUAGCACAGCGGAAAGUAGAGUCGAUGACGAUCGGCGGUGCAGAUCCCCGCAGCUAGGAUUUUACAACCUCCCAACCGCGAGGAUGUAUACCCUCAUCUGCCCCUCGGACAGCCCUCCGGGAGGUGGUCGAACAGCCCCCGGACGGUGUCGUGGACAGCCCUUCGGGAGGACCUUCGAAACUCGGACGGUCACUCAGACAGCCCUUCAGGAGGACCUUUGAAACUCGUACGGUCACAUGGACAGCCCUUUGGGAGGCACUCUCGAACUAAGACCGAAAUUACAAUCUCUCUACAGAGUUUCACACGUACGGUGUCAUCUAUCCGGCAGGGCUUCGCCGUCCAGAACUAGUUCCUGCCGGAUACCAGACAACCUUUCGGCUCUACGAAACUAUUUCGUGGGGAGGGAGAGAGAAGCCAGAUCAUUGCAAUGCACUUGUAUGUGAGAAAAGAGUGAGUGUGGAGAGUGCCUCUCCACCUCUAUUUAUAGGAAAACCCAAGGGGUAGGGGACACAUGAAAAACCCAAAAAUGCCCACACUUUAUGUCACACAUAAAGGGCAUAAAGGGAUGACAAGUGGAGCCCCAUGGAGGAGCUGCACCCUCCAACGUCCCACCUUCAUGGGGGACCCCAAAGGGGGUUCCUUGAUCCCCAAGUCCUUCUAGAAGCCUUUUGGGAAAAGCCCCGAAAGGUGGCUUUCCAUAAAUAUCCCAAAAAGCACUUUCACUAUUCACGACGACAUUUUUCAGCGUCUGCUAGAACUGAAAAUAUUUAUGUGGGCUUAGAACAUUUCCAGUACCCACUCAAAUAAUUUUCAACGCGUUCCGAAACAAUUCCGGAUUAGUGAUUUUCAUUUGCGAAAAGCAUCUGAAGUGGUUCCGGCAGCUCCGGAGCAAUUCCAGCUUUUAUCCCGGAAAAUUCCAGAAAGUUUCCAGAAUGACUCUGGCACCCUCCAAGAAUUAUCAGGCAUGUGCCGAAACCAAUUUGACUUAAUAGUAUAUCCCGAAACAACUUUUCGGUUUCACCGAAACUCAUCCGAUGACCUCUCUCUGCGAAACUUUUCCGCUGUUCGAAACUUUUCGGUGUCCGAAACUUUUUCGGUGAUUUUCUCUCAGACUCCCUGUCUAGUAUUCAACAGAUAGAUGACCCUUAAGCGUGUGACCCUAUAGGUUCGGUGAAGUAUAGACAUGACCCGGAACCCCUUCCGAUCAAUGAUCAACAUUGGAGCCGUGGACACCCAUAUUGACCCCUAUACCCACACGAAUAAAUAUUCGAGCGAACCUCCAGUUGCAGUGAGCUAUUCCUGUUGCUUCGCGAUAUGUCACAAACACCUGAGGUGAGAUUUAUUGCAUCCCCGUGGACGAACAAUUUGUCCACCAUGCAAGUUACCUCGUUACCGGUUUUGUUCUCUUUUCUCGUUUCCGUGUUCCGGCAUCCCAGUGAUCAAAUCACAAGGUGUCUGGCCAGACGAUUAUGGAUACAGUAACACCGAGAGGGCCCGAGAAUAUCUCUCCAUCGUUGGAGGAGCAAAUCCCAAUCUUGAGCUAUCAAGUUACUUGACAUACUUUUCCAUGAACCCGUAAGCCGCCGUAAUAGCCACCCAUUUACGGAUGACGUUUAACAAACCCCAAAGUUCAUGAAGCAAGCAUGAAGAAACUCGAUACUCUCAUGGUAUAAGGAAUCAUGCAAACGUUAACCAUCUUUGUGUUAUGUACCAUUAACUUGUGACGAAUGAAUCUCAUAGCAUAACAUCAAUCCGGGUCGAUUCAACACAAAUGUUCUCUUAACAUUGUGCCCUCAAAGUUGAUGGCAUAGACAUGCCCAUGAUCAGGAAAACAGAACCAUCAUGCAACACUUGAGCUAGUCUUAGAGGCCAGACUAGGAAUACUUCUUACCAUUUAUUAUUCCACAUGUGCAUAUGAGUCCCCCUCCGAGCCUCGUGGAUAUUGCAGACUCGAGAAUCAUUGCAGUUAUAGCAUGGAACAUAAACACAAUUAUGAACUUGGAGAUAAAUAAUAUCAUUUAUUAUUGCCUCUUGGGCAUAUCUCCUACAAGUCCUUCGUGGGCGAUGGCCAUGGUGGGAUAGAUAGGGUUGCUUCUUCGUGGACCCUUCGUGGGUGGAGCCCUCCGUGGACUCGCGCAACCGUUACCCUUCGUGGAUUGAAGUCUUCAUCAACGUGGACGUACGAUAGCAUCACCUAUCGGAACCACGCCAAAAAUCUACGUGUCUACAUUGUGUUUACCUUCUCCAAACCCUUCCAUUUACCUUCAUAUGCAAUGUUUUACUUUCCGCUGCUACACUCUUAGAAUUGCAUGUGUAGGUUGAUUGCUUGACUUGUACUAGUUGCUAAAAUGUGCCAACACUUAAAAUUUGGAAAUGUUAGAUUUUUAUUUGGUCAAGUAGUCUAAUCACCCCGCCCCUUCUAGACCUACUUUCGAUCCUACAAGUGGUAUCAGAGCUUUGGUCUCCAUUUGCUUUGAUUUCCGUAGCUUUGCUGAUCAUAGCCUUGGUUUCACAACCUAGGAGAGUAUGGUGUCUAGCGAGGGAAAUUACCACCGUAGAGGUCCUUACUUUGAUGAUACUGAUUUUGCUAGUUGGAAGCAUAAGAUGAAAAUGCAUAUUCUUGGUCAUAACCCCGCCGUUUGGGCUAUUGUGCGUAUUGGCUUGCAAGGUGAAUACUUCGAGGAUGGAAGAGAACCAGAUCGUGAAGCGUUCGUGGAAGAAUUGAAGAUGUUGCAAUACAAUGCUCAAGCUUGCGAUAUUCUCUUCAACGGAUUGUGCCCCGAAGAAUUCAACAAAAUCAAUUGCCUUGAGAAUGCAAAGGAAAUUUGGGAUACUUUGGUUGAUAUGCACGAAGGUACCGAGUCCGUCAAGGAAUCCAAAUUGGAUGUGCUUCAAAGUCAACUUGACAAGUUCAAGAUGAAGGAUGGUGAAGGAGUCGCUGAGAUGUACUCUAGGCUUGCUCUCAUCACAAAUAAGAUUGCCGGCUUAGGAAGCAAAGAGAUGACCGACAAAUUCAUCAUCGAGAAGAUCCUAAGAGCCUUGGAUGGAAAAUAUGAUACUGUGUGCACCUUGAUCCAAAUGAUGCCCAACUACAAAGAUCUCAAGCCAACGGAAGUCAUUAGUAGAAUUGUUGCUCAUGAGAUGUCACUCAAGGAUAAGGAAGAGCUCCACAACAAGUCAAGUGGUGCUUAUAAAGCUUCAUGUGAUGUUCCUACAACAUCAAGUGAGAAACAAGUCUUCAAUGAAUAAUUGAGCUUAAUGGUGAAGAACUUCAACAAAUUCAACAAGAAUAGAAGCAAAGAGAGAAGUUCCAAGUCAAGAUCCUACAAUGACAAAAGAUCUUCUAGUCGUGAUUGUAAUUGCUACAACUGUGGAAGACCUGGACACUACUCUAAUAAGUGUACGGCUCCCUACAAGAGAAGAGAAGAUUCACCUAAGAGGAGAGUAAAAGAGAUGAAUCACCACCAAGAGAGAGAAGGAGUAGAGAUGAUCGUUAUGGACGAAGACCCUCUCGUAGAAGCAAGGAAUCGGAAAGGAAGGACAAGUCAUCAAAGAGCUACACAAGACGAAGACAUCAAGCUCGCGUUGGUGAAUGGGUAUCCGGUUCCGACUCCGACAACUACUCUAAGAGAAGUUAUCACUCCGACUUCGAGUAUACUCAAGAUGAAGGUGUUGCCGGUCUUGCACUUGUGUCAUCCAACUCCUACGACAUAGUUGACUCACCAAAUGAAGGAAUUGGAAGAUGCUUCAUGGAUAAAGGCCCUAAGGUAUCACACCCCGAGUAUGUUGAUUUCAAUAGUGAUGAAGAUGAUUUGCUAGGUGAUGAUGAUUUACUUGUUGACAACACUAGUGAUGAAAACUAUGAUGAAUUUUCUAUUAAUCAUGCUAAUCAAGAUGAAACGAAUGACAAUGAUAAGAAGGAGAUUGAGUGUCUAACUAAAGAAAUAAACACUCUUAAGUUAGCUCAUGAAACAACUCUAGAGGAUCAUCGAGAGCUUCUAAGGACUCAUGAGAAGGUACGCUUCGAGAAGCUAAAAUUAGAGCAAGAGCAUGGGUUCUUAAAAGUAAUCAAUGAUGAUCUUCGCAAGAAAAGUUCUUCUUACAUUGCCAAGCGUUUACUUUUGUCUACGUAUAUGCCACAAGUAAAAUCUACCAACAAGAGCAAGAAAGAUUUGUAGGGUAAUGCGACAGAAAACAAAAAAAUUCCGACCUACGCACCAGCCCAGGACCACUAUGGAGACUGCAUACAUGGUUUGAUCUUUUUCGUUACCGACUCGUAGCGCAGCGGGAAGUAGAGUCGAUGACGAUCGGCGGUGCAGAUCCCCGCAGCUAGGAUUUACAACCUCCCAACCGCGAGUAUGUAUACCCUCAUCUGCUCCUCAGACAGCCCUCCGGGAGGUGGUCGAACAGCCCCCCAGACGGUGUCGCGGACAGCCCUUCGGGAGGUCCUUCGAAACUCAAACGGUCACUCGAACAGCCCUUCGGGAGGACCUUUGAAACUCGGACAGUCACACGGACAGCCCUUCGGGAGGCACUCACGAACUAAGACCGAAACUACGAUCUCUCUACAGAGUUGCACACAUACGGUGUCAUCUAUCCGGCAGGGCUUCGCCGUCCAAAACUAGUUCCCACCGGAACCCAGACAGCCUUUCGGCUCUACGAAACUGUUUUGCUGGGAGGGAGAGAGAAGCCAGAUCAUGCAUGGCACUUGUAUGUGAGAAGGGAUGAGUGUGGAGGGCUGCCCCUCCACCUCUAUUUAUAGGAAAUCCCAAGGGGUAGGGUAGUUUCACACAAAAACCCAAAAUGCACAUGAAUGAAGUCCUUCCACAAGGACCUAGGAGUGAAAGCAAUGAACAAGAGGGUCCCCAAGGGGGGAUACCCCAUGUGGCCGGCCACACCCCCAUGAGGGGCCCAAAAAAUGGCCCCUAUCCAUCCAUGUCAUCCCCAAGAUCUUUUGGAGCAAAGCCCCAAAAGGUGGCUUUCCAUAAAGUAACCAUAAAGCUGAUUUUCACUAUUCACGACAACAUUUUUCAGCGUCUGAUCGAACUUAAAAUAUUUAUGUGGGCUAAGAACAUUUCCAGUACCCACUAAAAUGAUUUUCAACGCGUUCCGAAACAAUUCCGGUUUUAGUGAUUUUCAUCUGCGAAACGCAUCUGAAGUGGCUCCGGCAGCUCCGGAACAUUUCCGGUUUUUAUCUCAGAAAACUCCAAAAAGCUUCCAGAAUGAUUCUGGCAUCCUCCAAGAAUUAUCAGGCAUGUGCCGAAACCAAUUUGACUUAAUGGUGUAUCCCGAAACAACUUUUCGGUAUCAUCGAAACUUAUCCGAUGACCUCUCUCUGCGGUACGAUUCCGCUGUCCGAAACUUUUCGGUGUCCGAAACUUUUUCGAUGAUUUUCUCUCAGACUCCCUAUCUAGUAUUCAGCAGAUAGAUGACCCUUAAGCGUGUGACCCUAUAGGUUCGGUGAAGUAUAGACAUGACCCGGAACCCCUUCCGAUCAAUGAUCAACAUCGGAGCCGUGGACACCCAUAUUGACCCCUAUACCCACACGAAUAAAUAUUCGAGCGAACCUCCAGUUGCCGUGUGCUAUUCCUGUUGCUUCACGAUAUGUUACAAAUACCUGAGGUGAGACAUGUUGGCAUUCCCGUGGAUCAACAACUUGUCCACUAUGCUAGUUACCUCGUUACCGGUUUUGUUCUCUUUUCUCGUUUCCGUGUUCCGGCAUCCCAGUGAUCAAAUCACGCUGUGUCUGGCCAGACGAUGAUGGAUACCGUAAUACUGAGAGGGCCCGAGAAUAUCUCUCCAUCGUCGGAGGAGCAAAUACCAAUCUUGAGCUAUCAAGUUACUUGACACACUUUUCCAUGAACCCGUAAGCCGCCGUAAUAGCCACCCAUUUACGGAUGACGUUUAACAAACCCCAAAGUUCAUGAAGCAAGCAUGAAGAAACUCGAUACUCUCAUGGUCUAAGGAAUCAUGCAAACAUUAACCAUCUCUGUGUUAUGCACCAUUAACUUGUGACGAAUGAAUCUCUUAGCAUAACAUCAAUCCGGGUCGAUUCAACACAAAUGUUCUCUUAACAUUGUGCCCUCAAAAUUGCUGGCAUAGACAUGCCCAUGAUCAGGAAAACAGAACUAUCAUGCAACACUUGAGCUAGUCUUAGAGGCCAGACUAGGAAUACUUCUUACCGUUUAUUAUUCCACACGUGCAUAUGAGUCUUCCUCCGAGCCUCGUGGAUAUUGCAGACUCGAGAACCAUAGCAGUUAUAGCAUGGAACAUAAAACAUAAUUAUGAACUUGGAGAUAAAUAAUAUCAUUUAUUAUUGCCUCUAGGGCAUAUCUCUCCUACAGACUCCCACUUGCACUAGAGUCAAUAAUCUAGUUAAUGCUAAUGCACUUCACACCUGCGGCACACCGGCGUAAAUAUGCUUCGUUUGUGGUAUAGCCUGAUGUCCAACGGAUCUGACGACUUCAGCUCCGUGUGUAUCUUUGCAUGUCCUCGCGUUUUCACGUUUUCACAAAAUUCAUAUUUUGUGUGGACUUGGCUUUGUAUGUAUGUGAAUCACAGGUCGAACCUGGAUUCCUCAGACUGAGUUAUGGAGCAACUACCAGCAGUAGUGUCCCAUUGUCAAAAGCCAUCUUGGAACCAUUCUAAGUUCAUGAAUGAACUAUAUGAUUCAACAUCUUCUUUGUCGCUUCUAAAACGUCAACAUACUUAGCCCUUGUUAUAGAAUUCGCCACAGUAACUAGUUUGAACAAGUUCCAACUAACUGUGCCACCACAUUGUGUGUUACACAAAACCCUUAAUUUAAAUCGAAAAUCGCAUGGAGAAAAGAUGAAGACUGCAUCGAUGUAACAUUUUACAACGAACUCUUCAUGAUCUCUGCUUGCGAGAAAACCAUGUCAUCAGUACUUACUCUAGUACUCUGUGACAUCUUUCACUGUUGUCCCAUGAUAAGUAAUUUGAUCACUUUGGUAUCCAUACUCGCAACACCUUGGGAGUAUCGGACAUAUCUGGUUGUUUUACAUACCAUGGAAUACAUGAUUAAUCCAAACACAAAAGUGUGUGGAAUCUGCAUCAUGUAUUUUGCUCAUCAGUGUUUUGGGACACCGAGUCUUCCAAAAAACUCUUCCAUGUGACUCCGGCAAGAAUCACUCCUUGGCGGUUUUAAAUGCUAAAAAGUUUUAGCACCUUGUCAAUAUGUAUUCAUUGCUUAGCCCUAUUAGGUAAAUCUAUCUCCAUAGAUCAUUAUGCCUAAUAUGAGGCUAUUUAGCCUAAGCACUUCAUCAAAAAAAUAUUUUCAAAUGAAGUCCUAAUUCGUGUCAAGAAAUUUAUUUCCAAUUAACAAUGUGUCAAGCACACAAGGUUUUUAGAAAUAUUAUUACGCUCCCACUUACUUUCUUGAAUUACAAGCAUCUUCGUUACCCAUUGAUGAAGUCAGAACCCUUUGACCAUUUCAUCAAAGCACGAAGAUUCCAACUCCAUUUUGCUCUCUUCUGUCCAUCGUUGGAACUCUGAAGUUUGCACCCUUACUAGCAUCCUCUGGAUAGACAAAAUGCCUUGGACUGUAACACAUGCAAGUCCUUGGUUUCAUUUCCAUCAUAUGGAAAUCCUAUUGUCAUCCAUGUUUCAUAUCUCAUGAUUGAAAUAUGUAUUAAUUGCUAGUUCAACCCGAACCGACUUUAAGCAUCGCUACGAUGAAAACAACCUUAUCGUAGUCAACUCUUGAACUUGUUAUUUCAACAAGUCGAGCUUUAUGGAUAAAACAUUUUUAUCCGUAUUAGUUUAAAGUUCCAUAAAUAUUCGUUAGACUCUAAGUCUUCCGAAAGGUGUAUCAAGGUUUUAAUCUUGAAUCACUUAUAUGGAAACUAACUCGGGUUGUAUUGGCAUUUAGCCAAUUCCGGAGUCAGGGCCCAUCAACGCUGCCUUGUGUAUCGUAGGUAUAAUGUUGUCUAACAACAAUAUCUCGUUUGCGCACCUGAGAGGUUUGCACGAGCCUUGCCUACGUGGUUCAGCUGCAAGUUCGACCGAAGUUCGUACAUUUUGUUGUAGAGACUUCCGUAUCAGUCGCAGUAGGAAACUCUGGAAUUACUUCCAAGGUCUCUUUCCUUUGAUCUGAUGACAAAGAUACUGUUUAUCUCAUCGAGUUGCACUAUUCUCCCACUCACCUUUUUGAAAGAACCAUUCUCUUUAAAAGCACACCAUUUCGCGGCAAAACUAUUUGCCUUGGUAUAGUGAGGGAGGAAUACCCAACAUUUUGGUAUAACGUACAAAGUAGCACUUGUCUGUUUUGGAAUAGGUUUGUAACCUUUUACACAAGCCCCAUAUUCCAAAUGUUAAGAAAAGAUAUAACAUGGUUGGGCGUACCAUACCAUGGCUUCAUUUCAACAGACCCGAUGUAGCUCUUUUCAGUGUAAAAGCCGCAGUCUCUAAAGCAUCACUUUAAAAGGGAUAAUGGCAAAUUUAUUUAUGCCAUCUUUGACCUUACCAUGUCAUAAAUGGUUUGAUUACAUCUUCACAGACAUUCCACUCAUAGUGGUGUGCCGGAAGGUGUAAGUUAUGAAACUCUUUUCACAACUCAUCAGACAUUUGCUAAACUUGUAACUCAGAUAUUCCUUUAUGCAAUCAAAUUGUAGAAACAUAAUUUCCUUGUUACCAUAACUUCUACUUCAUUUUUGAAAACCUUUUGAAUGAUUUCAAAAGAUCCAGACUUACGUCUCAUCAAGCAAAUAUCCAUAUAUCUACUUGAGUCAUUUAUGAAGAUAUAUAAAUCCACUACUUGCAACACCAUUUAUUGAACUACACACAUCAAAAUGUAUGAUCACCAAUAAGUUUGUUGCUCGUUCCUUAUGGCCUGUGAACGGUAUUUCAGUCACUUCACUUUUUGGAGGCAAGUUGCAAGUGUCAGAUGAUUCAAAAUCAAACGACUUCAAAAUCCAUCAUAAUGGAAUUUUUCCAUGCGGGUUUCUCCAAUGUGACCAAAUGCAGUUCCACACAUGUGUGGUAUUCUCAUAGUCUUGCGACAUUUAGCGUCAGUGUUAUGGACGUAUCAUUUACCAUCAAUAUUCAUAACAUACAUCCCAUCUUGGAUGGAAGCAUGGCCCUUCAUGUUAUUCAUAAUACUGAACAACAAUUGUUCUUUUAUGAACAACCCUUUUGCAAUAAACAUUAUGCAAUGGGCUAGAGUGUAAGAAACUCUAAAAUGAAUUAUGAAAGUAAACCCAGAGGUAUUGUAUUAUUAUCAAUAUUCAUAACAUACAUCUCAUUCAUAAUGAAAGUAUGGCCCUUGUGUUAUUCAUAACAUCGAACAUAAAAAGUUCUCUUAUGAACAACCUUCUUGCAAGAUACCUUAUGCAAUGGGCUAGAGUUUGUAAAACUCUAAAUGAAUUAUGAAAAUAAAUACAGACGACAAUACACCGAUGGAAGGUAUAGUAACAUUUACUAUGUUCCGUGUGUAUACCUUAACCUCAUUUCUGGCUAGUAUUUUUAGGCCAUAGUAGCUCUUACAUUGAUUCGCAACAGAAUGCAAUCGAGCGGGUAUCUUUGUGAUUAACUCACAAUACCCAAGGAUUAGUGAUUAACAUGUUUAACCAUAAUUCCCAAGAACUAUAUCUUUGACCAGCCUACUAUACAUCAAAAACUUGUAUGACAUUCAUACAUGAGCUGGAUAUUCCAGUCAUCUUUCUUUCUGGCUUUAUACUUCUAACAGUUUAAUUUUUAGUAUUUCUCCUACUCGCAAAAGAAGCACCCAACUUAAGAGUGGCGUUAGCCCCGGACUUCCUAGGCGUGUAAGUCAUACUAACACCCUUUGGACACUUCCUUUCUCUUUAAGUUGUUGUUUUAUUCACCUUUCAUUAUAUGACAGGCGUUCUUCUAGAUCCCUUUCCCAACAGUCAAAUGCAUAGUAAACACUUUUACUAAUACUUGCAAACAAACAUUGCUUUGUUUGUAUCUGAAAAUAAUUUUCAGUUCCAUGAAUAUCAUAUAACUAUCCCAACUUUCCAAGUUUGGGUUUCAUGGAAGCAAACAUAUUCCACUUGACCGUAACAGAAUUCAAGCUUUUGGAUCGAAGGACGAGAGUCACAUGAUCCAUAGCAUUAGCGGGAGGAUACGGAAAGCAUGCGAUAGUACAAAGUCCUUCUCGACACUUUUGAGGACAAUCCUCAUAUUACGUUACCAAUCGUAAAGUUUUAACAAGAUAUUUAACAGCUAUUCAAUUUUAACAGGGAAAGUGGAAUCGCGAGCCAUUAUUCUACAACUAUUUUGCAAGAAACACUUAGACAGUGUUCAUAAUUAAUUGCACUGAGAAUUAAACAUGUUAAUUCAACAGUGCGCUCCCACUCAAAUCAAUAUCUCUCAUAAUUGAUUUAGAGUGAUUCAAGAUCCAUAUUUCUAUUCGAUGCCAUUCACGGGUUCAUCACUGAUGACACGAAUUUCAAUCGGUAGGCCAACUUGCCGAUCACAUCUCUAUGUGAUUCUUGUUCAUCUUUCAAUGGGCGUGUUCCGAGCUCAGGACUCUCCUGCCUGAACGUCAAAGACAACCAAGUGAUCUUGCUGCGAGGUCUGACCUCACCCGCCUCAUUCCUCUCGAUUCGUUCGUGCUCAUGUGUACAUGGCGCACCCUGAAAAGAUACGAAUUUCAGACGGUGCUACACUUGGGUGAACACUAACUACUUUGAUAUUUUAAGUGAGAGAUCACCCUAAUAAAAAGUGACUACCGCGCAAUCAAGAAGGGUGCAUCAUAAGGGAUAAAUAUCUCAGGCAAUUCAUAAUAGCAUGAUAUGGUAUAUCCCUUUCUGACGGAGAAGUCUUUCAUUUCUUCGUCCUCGGCAUUCGCGUCGGUGUUCACCUUCGCGAAGAUUGCCACCACCUUGUCGAUGCACCAGAUAAUAUUGCUAUCUCUAUAGCUAAUAAAAUAAGUGCAUUACUUAAGGUUGACACGCAGGUCAUUAAAGUGACAAUCAUAUGGCUCCAGCCAUCAUGCCGAAUCAUGACACGCAGGUCAUGUUAAUUACAUCAUAUAGUCAUCUCAUACAUAAUCAAAUUGAAUAUGAGCAUUGCUAUACCACAUCACAUGCACAUCCUGCAAAACCAAGUUAGACGCCUCUAAUCGGUUUAUGUAAAAUUUUAUUUUACGUGGCUUCUAAGGUUUUGACUUAAACCGUAGCUACCAACGUUUUAUCAUCAAGUAUGAUUAUUCAAGUUGCUAGAUUAACAUCUCGGGGUGUAUGAAACACGAGAUAAUUAAAUCUCGAGCCCCAUACUAAACUUCAUCAUACGCAUGACCCCCGUGUAGAUCAUAUCUGCAAUGCCCUUUCAUCUGCGAAUUUCAUCUUUCUUUUGACUACGGCAGAACCCAAAGAACUGAUAGCACUUCCAUGAUCAAUCAAGAUCACGGAUUGCCAGAACUUUGUCAAAUUCCACCAUGCUGUCUCGAGAUUGAGCAAACGCAAAUUCUAGGGAAGCAACAAGAACCUCGGGUAACAGAUUUCAUCUGUCACCCGCAUAAAUAAUUUUCAGCAAUAGAUCUCAUCUACUACCUAAUUAUAUUAUGCAAUACCCAUACAUCUCCAUGUAUUCUAGAUCGAAACCUGCAUCUACGCAUAGCACGGCUCUUGAUGCCACUGUAGGGUAACGCGACAGAAAACAAAAAAUUUCUGACCUACGCACCAGCCCAGGACCACUAUGGAGACUGCAUACAUGGUUUGAUCUUUUUCGUUACCGACUCGUAGCGCAUCGGGAAGUAGAGUCGAUGACGAUCGGCGGUGCAGAUCCUCGCAGCUAGGAUUUACAACCUCCCAACCGCGAGGAUGUACCCUCAUCUGCUCCUCAGACAGUCCUCCGGGAGGCGGUCGAACAGCCCCCCGGACGGUGUCACGGACAGCCCUUCGGGAGGUCCUUCGAAACACGAACGGUCACUCGGACAGCCCUUCGGGAGGACCUUCGAAACUCAGACAGUCACACGAACAGCCCUUCGGGAGGCACUCACGAACUAAGACCGAAACUACGAUCUCUCUACAUAGUUGCACACAUACGGUGUCAUCUAUCCGGCAGGGCUUCGCCGUCCAGAACUAGUUCCCACCGGAACCCAGACAGCCUUUCGGCUCUACGAAACUGUUUCGCUGGGAGGGAGAGAGAAGCCAGAUCAUGCAUGGCACUUGUAUGUGAGAAGGGAUGAGUGUGGAGGGCUGCCCCUCCACCUCUAUUUAUAGGAAAUCCCAAGGGGUAGGGUAGUUUCACACAAAAACCCAAAAUGCACAUGAAUGAAGUCCUUGCACAAGGACCUAGGAGUGAAAGCAAUGAACAAGAGGGUCCCCAAGGGGGGAUACCCCAUGUGGCCGGCCACACCCCCAUGAGGGGGCCAAAAAAUGGCUCCUAUCCAUCCAUGUCAUCCCCAAGAUCUUUUGGAGCAAAGCCCCAAAAGGUGGCUUUCCAUAAAGUAACCAUAAAGCUGAUUUUCACUAUUCACGACGACAUUUUUCAGCGUCUGAUCGAAGUGAAAAUAUUUAUGUGGGCUAAGAACAUUUCCAGUACCCACUAAAAUGAUUUUCAACAGGUUCCGAAACAAUUCCAGUUUUAGUGAUUUUCAUCUGCGAAACGCAUUUGAAGUGGCUCCGGCAGCUCCGGAAAAUUUCCGGUUUUUAUCUCAGAAAAUUCCAAAAAGCUUCCAGAAUGAUUCUGGCAUCCUCCAAGAAUUAUGAAGCAUGUGCCGAAACCAAUUUGACUUAAUGGUGUAUCCCGAAACAACUUUUCGGCAUCAUCGAAACUUAUCCGAUGACCUCUCUGUGUGGUAUGAUUCCGCUGUCCGAAACUUUUUCGGUGAUUUUCUCUCAGACUCCCUGUCUAGUAUUCAGCAGAUAGAUGACCCUUAAGCGUGUGACCCUAUAGGUUCAGUGAAGUAUAGACAUGACACGAAACCCCUUCCGAUCAAUGAUCAACAUCGGAGCCGUGGACACCCAUAUUGACCCCUAUACCCACACGAAUAAAUAUUCAAGCGAACCUCCAGUUGCCGUGUGCUAUUCCUGUUGCUUCGCGAUAUGUUACAAAUACCCAAGGUGAGACAUGUUGGCAUUCCCGUGGAUCAACAACUUGUCCACUAUGCUAGUUACCUCGUUACCGGUUUUGUUCUCUUUUCUCGUUUCCGUGUUCCGACAUCCCAGUGAUCAAAUCACACUGUGUCUGGCCAGACGAUGAUGGAUACCGUAAUACCAAGAGGGCCUGAGAAUAUCUCUCCAUCAUCAGAGGAGAAAAUCCCAAUCUUGAGCUAUCAAGUUACUUGACACACUUUUCCAUGAACCCGUAAGCCGCCGUAAUAGUCACCCAUUUACGGAUGACGUUUAACAAACCCCAAAGUUCAUGAAGCAAGCAUGAAGAAACUCGAUACUCUCAUGGUCUAAGGAAUCAUGCAAACGUUAACCAUCUCUGUGUUAUGCACCAUUAACUUAUGACGAAUGAAUCUCUUAGCAUAACAUCAAUCAACACAAAUGUUCUCUUAACAUUGUGCCCUCAAAAUUGCUGGCAUAGACAUGCCCAUGAUCAGGAAAACAGAACCAUCAUGCAACACUUGAGCUAGUCUUAGAGGCCAGACUAGGAAUACUUCUUACCGUUUAUUAUUCCACACGUGCAUAUGAGUCUUCCUCCGAGCCUCGUGGAUAUUGCAGACUCGAGAACCAUAGCAGUUAUAGCAUGGAACAUAAAACAUAAUUAUGAACUUGGAGAUAAAUAAUAUCAUUUAUUAUUGCCUCUAGGGCAUAUCUCCUACAAGAUUCUUCUUCUAGUAGUAACAAUAAUCAUGUUAAAUCCAAUAUCGUUGCUUCUAGUAGUUCUCUUGAUUCCACUAAUGAUUCUCUUAGCCAAGUUACACUUGAGCAAGAAAAUAGCUUAUUGAAGGGAAUUAUAGAGAAAGGUGUUUACAAGAGCCUUGUCGGAAGUAAGCAAUUUGAGGAAAUUGUACGCAAGCAAAGAAGGCACCGGAAGAAUCAAGGUGUUGGUUUUGAACGAAAGUUCAAUGCCAAUGGAGUUGAGUGGGAAGAAGAUCAAUACCCCAAGACGAAGUUUGUUCCUCAACAAGAGAAGUAUGAUCCGACUUCUUUCAAAGGAACACAAGCUCAAGAUGAUCUUCCAUCACAAGACCACAAGCUAAAAGGCAAUGACAAGCUUCAAGAAGAGAUUGACUCAUUUGAAAAAGCUCCUAAGGCCAUGGCCAAGUGGGUUCCCAAGACUACAUCAAGUUCUACUUCAUCAAGUACGACUACAACUCCAAGGAUUCCCAUCAAGUUGAUGUGAAUCCCAAAGAAGAAUAACUAGAGAGUUAUUAAGGGUGACUCCGCCAACAUACUUCAAUCAUAUUCAUUUUGACAAGGACAAGUGCAAUCAACUUCCAUAUCUUGCACUAGUUCAUGGAGUCACAAACCCUCUUGUUGGUAAGACAAGGGACAAGGUAACCUAAUGCUUUCAUGGACAUCAUCAUAUGUGUGUUUCACUCUAUGUCUAUGGAUAUCCUUGUGUGUUCCUUGUGGAACUAACCCAUGUAGGUAUUGAAAGUGCAACUCACUCCAAUGGAUUGCCCCAAAAUGAUCUACAUCAACAUUAAGCAUCCACAUCUUCAACACCUACAUGAAGUCAUCAUCGACAAAACCCAAGGCUAGUUCAUCCCUCUAAGGGGGGAUAUCACAUCUAGGGGGAGCUUUGCUCUAAGAAUUGAGCUAAAGCAACUCUAAUGGGGUGAACACAACAAUGCUUUAUGUAAAAGUGGCAACCCCACUUGUGCUUAAAAGAUGAGUAUGACCUAAGAUCAAAUGUUCUCAUUUGACUCCUCAGUCAAUAUACUCAUAUAUAGAUGACCUAGUCAUCACCAAUUGCUUGAUAGAUGCCAGAGUGUAUGUGCAUGCUUUGCCAUCUUAUUGUGUGAGCAUGUUGGUUGCAUAAUUUUCUCUAUUCAAGGACACCCAUUUGUUGCUUUGAUUGUUUGGUUUUUCUUUUUACCAAAUGGAUGGACAAGAAUGCCUAAGUACUCCCUCUGGCUAUUGAUACGUCUCCAAGGUAUCUACUUUUCCUAACGCUUUUCCUCUUGUUCUGGACUCUAAUUUGCAUGAUUUGAAUGAAACUAAACCCGGACUGGUGCUGUUUUCAGCAGAACUACCAUGGUGUUAUUUUUGUGCAGAAAUAAAAGUUCUCGGAAUAGAAUGAAACUUUGCGAGGAUUUUUUAUAUCAAUAAAGAGAAUUUCUGGAGCCAAGAGCCACCGGAGGGGGGCACCUGGGUGGGCACAACCCGCCAGGGCACGCCAGCCCUCCCAGGCAUGCCCAGGUGGGUUGUCCCCACCUGGUGGCCCCGCAAACCCUGAAACCGACGCUAUAAAAUCCAAUUUUCGGAGAAAAUAUCAGGGAGAAAGAAUUAUCGCGAUCCACGAGACGGAGCCGCCGCCACCUCCUGUUCUUCAUCGGGAGGCCAGAUCUGGAGUCCGUUUGGGGCCCCGUAGAGGGGGGGGGUCUUCAUUCUUCGUCAUCACCAACCCUUCUCCAUCCCCAAUUCCAUGAUGCUCCCCACCGGGAGUGAGUAAUUCCUUCACAGGCUCACUGGUCGGUGAGGAGUUGGAUGAGAUUCAUCAUGUAAUCGAGUUAGUUUUGUUAGGGCUUGAUCCCUAGUAUCCACUAUGUUAUGAGAUUGAUGUUCCUAUGACUUUGCCAUGCUUAAUGCUUGUCACUUUGGGCCCGGGUGCCAUGAUUUCAGAUCUGAACCGUUUAUGUUAUCAGCAUUAUAUCCAUGUUCUAGAUCCGAUCUUGCAAGUUAUAGUCACCUACUACAUGUUAUGAUCCGGCAACCCCGGAGUGACAAUAGUCGGGACCACUCCCGGUGAUGACCAUAGUUUGAGGAGUUCAUGUAUUCACCGUGUGUUAUUGCUUUGUUCCGGUUCUCUAUUAAAAGGAGGCCUUAAUAUCCCUUAGUUUCCAAUAUGGACCCCGCUGCCACGAGAGGGUAGGGCAAAAGAUGUCAUGCAAGUUCUUUCCAUAAGCAUGUAUGACCACAUGAUGAAUAUCAUCCAACAAAUUACCGAUCCAAUGCCUACGAAUUUAUCUUAUAUUGUUCUUGCUAAGUUACUACUGCUGCUGUUACUGUUGCACUUGCUACAAAAAUACUGCUAUCACUGUUACCGUUACCAUUACUGCUAUCACUAUUAUCAAAACUAUCAUAUCAGUUUGCUACUGACUUUGCUACAGAUAAUUAAUCUCCAAGUUUGGUUGAAUUGACAACUCAGCUGCUAAUACCUUCAAAUAUUCUUUGGCUCUCCUUGUGUCGAAUCUAUAAAAUUGGGUUGAAUACUCUACCCUCGAAAAUUGUUGCGAUCCCCUAUACUUGUGGGUUAUCAAGACCUUUUUCUGGCGCCUUUGCGGGGGAGCAUAGCUAUAUUUGUUGAGUCACUUGGGAUUAUUAUCAAUUUAUCACUAUGAAGAAUCUGAAGGAUGCUAAGACUAAGAUUUAUCCCUCAAAGACGAGGGGAGGUAAGGAACUGCCAUCCAGUUCAGCUUUAGAUUCACCUUCUGUUAUAAGUAAACUUGCAACACCACCACAUGCUAUUAAUCCUGAUAUGUCGCAAGUUACUGAUGAUGCUACUUCUGCUAUGAAUGAUACUUAUGAUGAUGCUAGUACCUUGCUUGAUGAUGAUGAUGUGCCACUUGGUGACUUUCUUGAUGAACAAAUUGCUAGAGUAAGACAACAUGAUGUUUGAUGAUGAGCUUGAAACUGAAAAUCUUGAAACACCUGCUAGAACUAUCCUUCCUAGAUAUGAAUUGCCUAAGGUACCAUAAGGUUAUGUUAUGAAUGAGGAGACAACUAGAGAUAUUCUUGCUUGUAAGGAUAGAGAUGAUCUAGAGAAAUUACUAUGCAAGUAUAAAGAAAAAUCUCUGAAUGAUAGAAUGCAAUAUGAUCCUAAGUUUGCUACUUCACCUAUCUUUAUUGAUGAUAAGGAUUAUGAAUUCUCUGUCGACCCAGAGUUAAUUACUUUGGUUGAAUCUGAUCCUUUCCAUGGUUAUGAAACUGAAACUGUUGUGGCACAUCUUACUAAGUUGAAUGACAUAGCCACCCUUUUUACUCAUGAUGAGAAGACUUGCUAUUACUUUAUUCUCAAAUUAUUUCCGUUCUCAUUAAAGGGUGAUGCUAAAGCUUGGUACAAUACUCUUGCUCCUGGUCGUGUGCGUAGUCCCCAGGAUAUGAUUUAUUAUUUCUCUGAAAAAUAUUUCCCUACUCAUAAGAAACAAGCUGCCUUGUAGGAAAUAUUUAACUUUGUGCAAACUAAAGAAGAGAGUAUCCCACAAGCUUGGGGGAGGCUUCGCCAGUUACUUAAUGCUUUGCCUGAUCAUCCUCUUAAGAAAAAUGAAAUACUUGAUAUCUUGUAUAAUGGACUAACCGAUGCUUCUAGGGAUUUCCUAGAUAGUUGUGCUGGUUGUGUUUUCAGGGAACGAACUGUUGGGCAAGCUGAAGAAUUAUUGAAUAACAUAUUGAAAACUUAUGAUGAUUGGACUCUUCCUGAACCACUGCCUAAACCCACUCCAAAGAGGAGGGGUAUAUUAUAUCUCAGUCCUGAAGAUAUGCAAGAGGCAAAGAAAUCUAUGAAGGAAAAAGGUAUUAAAGCUGAGGAUGUCAAAAAUUUACCUCCUAUUGAAGAAAUAGAUGGGCUUGAUAAGGUGGUAGAGGUAAAUUCUUUAAUGAAAUUCAAUGAUAAUGAAAAUCCUCACAAUAUGCACCCUAGCCAAUGCCGUUAUGAGUUUGAAAACUACAUUAGAAAACAAGAUCACUACAAUGCAAAUGUUAUGAAACAAUUGAAAUACAAUUCUGAUAUGAUUGCUCGCUUGAGUGACUUGUUAUUUGGAAUCUCAAAUGAUGUUAGAGGUGCUGGAAAGCAUGCUUCUAUGGUUCAAACUCGGUUACAACAAGUUGCUAAAUCUCAAAGAGAGAUGCUAGAUGAAAUGAACAAUAACACACAUGACUUUGCUGUUAGAGUAGCAACUAGAGGAGGUAAAAUGACUCGGGAACCACUUCAUCCCGAGGGUCACCCAAAAAGAAUUGAACAAGACUCUCAAAGAGCUAACACUGAUGCACGUAGUCCUUCUAGAAAGAAAAAGAAGAAGAAAAAUGAUAGGACUUUGCAUGCUUCUAGUGAACCUGAAGUAGAAAAACCUCCUGAUAAUGAUAAUGAAGUCUCUAUCUCUGAUGCUGAAACUCAGUAUGGUAAUGAAAACUCACCUUCUGAUAAUGAAAAAGAUAAUGAUGAUGUUCAUGAAGACACUCAAACAAAUAGUAAAGAACCAGAUAAUGAUGUUGAGAUAGAACCACCAGUUGAUCUUGAUAACCCACAACCUAAGAAUACAAGAUAUGAUAAAAGAGACUUCAUUGCGGAAAAAACGGUACAGAAAGAGAACCGUGGGUUCAAAAACCUAUGCCCUUUCCACCUAAGUCAACUAAAAAGAAAGAUGAUGAAGAAUUUGAACGCUUUGCUGAAAUGCUGAGGCCAGUCUUUUUGCGCACUCGCUUGGCUGAUAUCUUGAAAAUGCGUCCUUAUGCAAAGAAUAUGAAAGACAUCAUCACCAAUAAGAGAAAAUUACCGGAAGCUGAAAUCUCCACUAUGCUUGCUAAUUAUACUUUUAAAUAUGUAGUACCUAAAAAACUUGGAGAUCCGAGAAUACCAACUAUACCUUGCUCUAUCAAAAGAAACUAUGUGAAUACUGCUUUAUGUGAUUUAGGAGCUGGUGCUAGUGUUAUGCCUUUCUCUUUAUAUAAAAGACUUGAUUUGAAUAAACUCACACCUACUGAAAUAUCUUAGCAAAUGGCUGACAAAUCAACUACCAUACCUAUCGGUAUUUGUGAGGAUGUGCCCGUUGUUGUUGCUAAUGUUACUAUUUUGACUGACUUUGUUAUACUUGAGAUGCUCGAGGAUGACAACAUGUCGAUUAUCCUUGGUAGACCCUUCUUGAACACUGCAGGGGCUGUUAUUGAUUGCAAUAAAAGCAAGUUCACUUUUCAUAUCAAUGGUGAUGAGCAUACGGUGCACUUUCCAAAGAAACAAUUCCAAGUGAAUGGUAUUAAUGUUAUUGAAAAAUCUUCAACAAUCACUAUUGGAAGUUUUCAACUACCUCUACCUACUGUUAAAAAUAAAUAUGAAAUGCUUAUUGUUGGGGACAUUCAUAUCCCCGUUUAGGUAACCUAGUGAUUUAUGAAAGUUCUUCGGUUUCAUGUUAAUCGAAAGUGGUUGUUAGUAAGACUUGAUCAACCUUAUUAAUGGAUCAUUUUUGAGAGGUAUGAAGUUGAUGAAUUUAGUAAGCACUACCUUCUGUCCCUAUCUUUUAUUUUCUGUUUUUAUUAGUUAAAUAAAAUAAAAUGUCAUGUUUUGUCUGUUUUCUGAAUUUCUCAUGCAAUAAAAAAACUGACCCAAAAAUAAAAAUUCUCAGAAUGCUCUGAAAAAUUAAUAUGAAUUUUUUCUGAAUAUUUAAGAACUUUUGGUGCAAAUAAUAACAGCGGGAGGUGCACCACGUGGGCACAACCCACCUGGGCGCACCAGGACCCCCAGGCGCGCCCUGGUGGGUUGUGGUCGCCACGUGGGCCCCCUCACUUAUCUCUUCAUCCCACAUCAUCACCUACCUCAAGAAAAAAUUCACCAUUGCUCUCUCUCUCUCUCUCUCUCUCUCUCUCUCGUGUUCUUGCUCUCAAACCCGCGGAUUUCGAUCUCUUUGCUCGAAGCUCCAUUUCUGAAACUGUUUCGGGGGAUUGUUGCUUGGUAUGUGACUCCACCGUUUGUCCAAUUAGUUUUUGUUUUUGUGGUUUAUAUUUUGAAUAAUUAGCUACUCUUGGUGCUGCUGUAGAUGAGCUUGCAUGUUGAAUUCUUAGAGUUCUAAGUAGUUUGAAUGCUUGCUAUGGCCUCUAUGUAUCCCUAUGAGUAGUUGCUAUCAAUCUUAUAAAGUUUUGUUGAUAAAUCUUUGUCACCCAAAAUUUUUCAGAAAAUUGUACGCGAACAUGAUGAACCUAUUUGGAAGGAGUUCUUCGAGGAGGAGAUCCUCGGGGACAUCUUCUAGUGACAACUCCGCUUGCCGGUCUUAUGUUAAACCAAGUGAAAGUUCCAUUCGAGAUGCCGCCACCAAAACAUGCUUAUGGCCUUGCGAUGACUAUAUGGUGUGUGUGGGCAUUAAGGAGGAAUUUGAGCAAUAUGUUCACAAUGCCGGUCUCGGUCCCUACAUUUCAGAUAAGUGCGAUCAACACCACACUCUCACUGAAUCAUUUGUCAAAGGAUUUAAAUUCCAUCCCCGUGAGUCUAGGGUGUCAUUUAAACUUUAUGAAAACCCACUUACCAUAUCACUAGAGAGAUUGGCUGAAAGUGCAACUAUCCCUGGGUGGUUUUGGUAAUUAUUAACAACAUAUAGCUCAUUGAGCUAAUGCUACUUCAAGAUAAAUAUUUUAGUAAAGCUCAAUGAUUGGCAUGGCAUGGAUUAGGAAUGUGGACCCCUCAAAAUGCUAAGGACAAAAGAUUGGCUCAAGCUCCAAAGCUCAAGACUCCACACUUUACUUUUAGUGAUCCAAGAUCACAUUGAGUCCAUAGGAAAAGCCAAUACUAUUAAAAGGGGAUGAGGUGUUGCUCAAUGGGUUACUUGCUCAAAGUGCUUAGUGAUAUGAUCCAAAAUCCUCAACCACUUUCUCAUAUCCACAUAUAUCCCAAACUAAAAGUAAAACUCGGCCUACCGAAACUUUCUAUCCGGCGCCACCGAGUUUAGUUGACAUAGCCACUGCCACAAAACUCUAGUCACUUUGGUCUUACCGAUAGGGAUAUCGGUCUCACCGAGAUGGGAUUGCAAACUCUUUGUUUCCCUUCGUAAUGUUUCGGUCCAACCAAGAUGAGCGAUUGGUCCCACCGAGUUCGCAGUGCAAACUCACUGUUUCCCUUUCGUAACGUUUUGGUCUCACCGAGAUGAGCGAAUCGAUCCCACCGAGUUUGCCUGACCAACUCUCUGGUUAGCUUAUUACCAAAAUCGGUCCCACCGAGUUUGUGUAAUCGGUCUCACCAAGAUUACGUUAUGCUCUAACCCUAAUGAAAUCAGUCCCACAGAGUUGACAUGUCGGUCCCACCGAAAAGCCUAACGUUCACAUUUUGAACUAAAUCGGUCUGACCAAGUUUCAUUAUUCGGUCCCACCAAGUUUGGUGAUUUGUGUGUAACGGUUAGAUUUUGUGUGGAGGCUAUAUAUACCCCUCCACCCACUCUUCACUCGUGGAGAGAGCCAUCAGAACAUGCCUACACUUCCAUCAUACAUUUUCUGAGAGAGAACCUCCUACUCAUGUGUUGAGGUCAAGAUAUUCCAUUCCAACCAUAUGAAUCUUGAUCUCUAGCCUUCUCCAAGUUGCUUUCCACUCAAAUCAUCUUUCAACCAAAUGCAAAUAUGUGAGAGAGAGUUGAGGGUUGGGGAGACUAUCAUUUGAAGCACAAGAGUAAGGAGUUCAUCAUCAACACACCAUCUAUUACCUUUUGGAGAGUGGUGUCUCCUAGAUUGGUUAGGUGUCACUUGGGAGCCUCCGUCAAGAUUGUGGAGUUGAACCAAGGAGUUGGCAAGGAGAUCGCCUACUUCGUGAAGAUCUACCCUAGUGAGGCAAGUCCUUCAUGGGCGAUGGCCAUGGUGGGAUAGACAAGGUUGCUUCUUCGUGGACCCUUCGUGGGUGGAGCCCUCCAUGGACUCGCGCAACCGUUACCCUUCGUGGGUUGAAGUCUCCAUCAACGUGGAUGUACGAUAGCACCACCUAUCGGAACCACGCCAAAAAUCUCCAUGUCUACAUUGCGUUUGCUCCCUCCAAACUCCUUCCUUUACCUUCAUGUGCAAUGUUUUACAUUCCGCUGCUAUACUCUUAGACUUGCAUGUGUAGGUUGGUUGCUUGACUAGUGCUAAGUUGCUAAAAUCUGCCAAGACUUAAAAUUGGGAAAAGGCUAGAUUUUUAUUUGGUCAAGUAGUCUAAUCACCCCCCCUCUAGACAUACUUUCGAUCCUACAAGUGGUAUCAGAGCUACGGUCUCCAUUUGCCUUGAUUUCCAUAGCUUUUGGUGAUCAUAGCCUUGGUUUCACAACCUAGGAGAGUAUGGCGUCUAGCGAGGGAAAUUACCACCGUAGAGGUCCUUACUUUGAUGGUACUAAUUUUGCUAGUUGGAAGCAUAAGAUGAAAAUGCAUAUUCUUGGACAUAACCCCGCUGUUUGGGCUAUCGUGUGUAUUGGCUUGCAAGGUGAAUUCUUUUAUGGGAGAGAACCGAACCGUGAAGCUACCGCGAAAGAGUUGAAGAUGCUGCAAUACAAUCUUCAAGCUUGUGAUAUUCUCUUCAACGGAUCAGCCGUCUUGAGAAUGCAAAGGAAAUUUGGGAUACUUUGAUUGAUAUGCACGAAGGUACCGACUCCAUCAAGGGAUCCAAAUUGGAUGUGCUUCAAUGUCAACUUGACAAGUUCAAAAUGAGGGAUGGUGAAGGUGUCGCUGAAAUGUACUCUAGGCUUGCUCUCAUCACAAAUGAGAUUGUCGGCUUAGGGAGUGAAGAGAUGACCGAUAGAUUCAUCAUCAAGAAGAUCCUAAGAGCCUUGGAUGGAAAAUAUGAUACCGUAUGCACAUUGAUCCAAAUGAUGCCCAAUUAAAAAGAUCUCAAGCCUACGGAAGUCAUUGGAAGAAUUGUUGCUCAUGAGAUGUCACUCAAGGAUAAGGAAGAGCUUCACAACAAGUCAAGUGGUGCUUACAAAGCCUCGUGUGAUGCUCCCACAUCAUCAAGUGAGAAACAAACCUUCAAUGAAGAAUUGAGCCUAAUGGUCAAGAAUUUCAACAAGUUCUACAAGAGUAGAAGCAAGGAAAGAAGUUCCAAGUCAAGGUCCUACAAUGACAAAAGAUCUUCAAGUUGUGAACGAAAUUGCUACAAUUGUGGAAGACCUGGACACUACUCAAAUGAGUGUACGACUCCCUACAAAAGAAAAGAAGAUUCUCCUAAAAGAAGAAGUAGAAGAGAAGAAUCACCACCAAGAGAGAGAAGGAGUAGAGAUGAUCGUUAUGAAUUUAGAACCUCUCGGAGAAGCAAGGAUUCGUAAAGGAGGACAAAUCAUCAAGGAGCUACACAAAGCGAAGACAUCAAGCUCAUGUUGGUGAAUGGGUAUUCGGCUCCGACUCCGACCAUCACUCCGAAAGAAGUUAUCACUCCGACUCCGAAUAUACUCAAGAUGAAGGUGUUGCCGGUCUAGCACUUGUGUCAACCAACUCCUACGACAUAUUUGACUCACCAAAUGAAGGAAUUGGAAGAUGCUUCAUGGCUAAAGGCCCAAAGGUAUCACACCCCGAGUAUGUGGAUUUCAAUAGUGAUGAAGAUGAUUUGCUAGGAGAUGAUGAUUUACUUGUUGAUAACUCCAGUUAUGAAAACUAUGAUGAACUUGCUAUUAAUCAUGCUAAUCAAGAUAAAACGAAUGACGAUGAUAAGAAGGAGAUUGAGCGUCUAACUAAAGAACUAAACACUCUUAAGUUAGCUCAUGAAACUAUCUUGGAAGAUCAUCGAGAACUUUUAAAGACUCAUGAGAAGCUACGCUUUGAAAAGCUCAACCUUUAGCAAGAGCAUGAGUUCUUAAAGGCAAUCAAUGAUGAUCUUCGCAAGAAAAGUUCUUCUUACAUUGCCAAGCGUUUACUCUGUCCACUUACAUGCCACAAGUAAAAUCUAGCAACAAGAGUAAGAAAGAUUCUUCAUCUAGUAGUAACAAUAAUCAUGCUAAAUCCAAUGUUAUUGCUUCUAGUAGUUCUCUUGAUUCCACUAAUGAUUAUCUUAGCCAAGUUACACUUGAGCAAGAAAAUAGCUUAUUGAAGGGAAUUAUAGGGAAAGGUGUUUACAAGAGCCUUGUCAGAAGUAAGCAAUUUGAAGAAAUUGUACGCAAGCAAGGAAGACACCGGAAGAAUCAAGGUGUUGGUUUUGAACGAAAGUUCAAUGCCAAUGGUGUUGAGUGGGAAGAAGAUCAAUACCCCAAGACAAAGUUUGUUCCUCAACAAGAGAAGUAUGACCCUACUUCUUUCCAAGGAACACAAGCUCAAGAUGAUCUUCCACCACAAGACCACAAGCAAAAAGGCAAGGACAAGCUUCAAGAGGAGAUUGAUGCAUUUGAAGAAGCUCCCAAGGCCUUGGUCAAGUGGGUUCCCAAGACUACAUCAAGUUCUACUACAUCAAGUACGACUACAACUCCAAGGAUUCCCAUCAAGAUGGUGUGGAUCCCAAAGAAGAAGAACUAGAGAGUUCUUGAGGGUGACUCUGCCAACGUACUUCACUCAUAUUCUUUGGCAAGGACAUGUGCAAACAACUUCCACAUCUUGCACUAGUUCAAGGAGUCACAAACUCUCUUGUUGGUAAGACAAGAGAUAAGGUAACCUAAUGCUUUCAUGGACAUCAUCUAUGUGUACAUCACUCUAUGUCUAUGGAUAUCCUUGUUUGUUCCUUGCGGGACUAACCCGUGUAGGUAUUGAAAGUGCAACUCACUCCAAUGGAUUGCUUCAAACGAUCUACAUCAACAUUGAGCAUCCACAUCUUCGACACCUACAUGAAGUCAUCAUCGACAAAACCCAAGGUUAGUUCAUCCCUCUUAGGGGGGAUAUCACAUCUAGGGGGAGCUUUACUCUAAUCAAUUGAGCUAAAGCAACUCUAAUGGUGUGAACACAACAAUGCUUUAUGUAAAAGUGGUAACCCCACUUGUGCUUAAACGAUGAGUAUGACCUAUGAUCAAAUGUUCUCAUUUGACUCCUAAGUCAAUAUACUCAUAUAUAGAUGACCUAGUCAUCGCCAAUUGCUUAAUAAAUGCUAGAGUGUUUGUGCAUGCUUUGUCACAUAUUUCAUUUGCCAUUUUAUUGUGUGAGCAUGUUGGUUGCAUAUUUUACUCAUUCGAGGACAUCCAUUUGUUGUUUUGAAUGUUUGGCUUUUUCUCUUUUGCCAAAUGGAUGGACAAGAAUGCCUAAGAACUCCCUCUAGCUAUCUAUGCUUUUCUCGUCUCAAACUCUAUUCAUGCUACAUCACAAAGUUUGAUCAAGUCAGAUUCGAACCACUCUGUGUGAGGAGCACUCGGAGUCCCCGAUUCUUCAUAGACUUAAACUUCCAAAACCUCUUUGUGCAUUUCGGUAUGACCGAGUCAUCCACUUCGGUCACACCAAGUUCACUAAGUUGAUCUAGGUUUUCCAUCUCGGUGCAACCGAUUUGAACUUUUCGGUCACACCGAGUUGCAGUAACCGCUUGCGAUUCUGCAUCUCGGUGCCACCGAGUUAUUCCACUCGGUCACACCGAUAGGGUCGGGAUAUAUAAACCCACAGGUGAGAUUUUGGAAAUUUCUUCAAACUCCUCAGCCCGCGCGUGUGUCCUGCUCUGCCUCCUCGGGUCUCCGGAUCGUCUCCUCGCCGCCAGCGACCUCCCGCUGCUAGUUUCCAUCACCGUCAACAAAAAUCUGCUCCGCCGUUGCCGCCGUAGCGAACUCCCGCCGCAUUAGGGUAUGGGUUCGACUCUAUGCGCUAAUUCCUUAACUCUGCACAUUGCUUUGCCAUGAUCUCUACCAUGUAUGCAAACAAUCUAUCCAUGGAAAACAUCCCUUAGGUUAGAUUUGAUUUGAAAAUUUAGGGUUAGGUCUUCGCCGAACUCAUCUUGGACCGACCGAGUUGUAGAAAUCGGUCUCCGAUUUGGCUUAGGACAUUGCACAUGCGUUUUCGGUCUGACCGAAAAUAGCGAAUCGGUGCGACCGAGUUCGACUCUCUGUGCAACCCUAGCGAUCUCGGUGCCACCAAACUGUGACUCGGUCUGACCGAGUUCACUAGUUUAGGUUCCAAAAUUGCUUCGGUAUCACCGAGUUUAACAAUUCGGUAGCUCCGAAAUGCUUUCUGUGGAGAACUGAAACUAAGUUUUUAAGUCAUCUGUUUUGCAAAAACUUUGCACUUUGUGAUGCUCAUCUACUCUACCUCAUCUAUAUCUAUUCACAGGGUCUGCUGUCAGUGUGUUUGCCAAGAUGUCUGACCAGAGUGACAGUCGGAACAGAUCUGAGGAACAAGUGCAAUUGAGUGAGGGUUCAGAUCCCUCAAGCAGUUAUGAUGAGGGCAGCAGGAGCACACCUAGUAACUUGCCCAAGGCAGCCACUAGAGCAAGGAAGAAGAGAACCUCAGACUCUGAGGAUGAGGACUA
rnacentral:lncRNA from 1 species